rnacentral:lncRNA from 1 species
AUAUAUAAUGUUUGGUAUGGAAACAUUAAACAAAUUAAUUUGAAAAGGGACACGAGUAUUAUACUUGGGCGACUAUAGGUAAGUAUUGAUUGAACCAAAAAAUUAUGACGCAAAAAUGAUACGCUAACUAUCUAAACGAAAUUGACUGAGUGAUUUUGAUUGAUACAUUAAUAAAUGAAGGUAAUAAGAAAUCAGUUUCAGUCAUCCUUUCGUCUCGGGACAAGUACAUACACAAAUAGCCACUCUAGCUUCCAAUGAAUUGAUUGGCACAAACAUGUAAAUGUCAAUUAAAGAUGGAACAUUACAAAAAGAUAUACAAUUUGAGACAAAUUUGGAAUACCUUGUCAGCAAUAGAAUGCUGGUUACUGCUUAGAAAUUACUCGUCGGUUAUAAAUUCUUUGUUGAAUUAUUACGAUAUGUAUCUCUUCGUCAAUUGUAUGAAAAGAGAGAAUACACACGCACAUACAAAAUAUAAAUAUGGUACGAAUCAAACAAACGGAAGUUAAGGUGGUAUUCAGUUCGCAGAAAUGAGUGGAGAAAAUAUGGGAAGAAAAGAGAAGAAAGAAGAGAAAAUGUCAGGAGAAUUCAAUUUAUGUUGUCUGAUUUUUUUUUAAAAUUCCAAGAGAGAAAAGAAUUUAAAUAUUUUUGUUUUCGAGGCUUUUAAUGUCUAAUUUUAAACUUUUCAAGAUUUAACUAAAUAAAUUUGUUUUGUUUUGUUUUUAAAUAAAUCACUGUUUAACACAAAAUAAAAUAUCAAUAACUGUUAUUAUUUAAUCAAUUUAUGUUGGCACCCUCUCAUAUUUCUAAUUUUUUAUUUUUAAAAUUAUUAACAUAAAAAAUAUCAAUAAUAUUAUUUGACAAAACAAGUUAUAAAUAACAGUUAUUUAAUUAAAAUAAACUAAUUAAUAGAAUUUGACCUCUUAACUCUUUGGUGAAGGAUCCAUAUUCCUAAAUUUGAUGAAAUUUAAAUCUCAAUUGAAAUUGAAUUCCACCAUUCUAUUGCCAGCUGAACAAUGGAAGGGGACAGAGAAACCAAAUCCUUUCCUCUCCCCUCAUCUAUCACCAUUCACCAAGUUCCAACCGAACACAAAAUAAUAGCGGUAAAUUUUGGAGCUAGAAUUGGAAAUUUUUAGGAGAUUAUAGAGGUAGCUUUUUGGAAGUCAAAGCCUAUAUAUAAUAAUUUAGACUGAAAUGUCAAAAUAUUAACAAUUAUUGGCGAAAAUGACAAUAUAAUAUAUUUUGUGGGUUGACAUUUUGAAUUUGCGAGAGAUCAAUACUGGAAUUACUGUUUGUCUCUUUCUUUUCAUAGGCUUGACUAGAGCCCAACCGUGUCGAUGUCAAAAUAAACUACGAGUAAAUAACACUAGUUAACAAUAAAAUAGCGAUUUUUCAUAAACUAUUGAUACAUUAAUCAAUCAUUUCUGUUUCGUGCACUUAAUUUUAUUUCCUAAAGAUAAGGACGACGGUAUUUUAAAAUAUAAAUAAAUUAGAAAAUAAAACCGCGCUUCACGCGGCUUUGAAAAAAAAAUUUAGUAUUAUCUUUUUUUCUUACUUUACACUUGAUGAAACUGAUAAAAAAUAUGAAUUGAUUUUUUUUUUAAGAUGAGGCAGCCUUAUAAAAAACAAAAAAAAAUUAUUAGUCAGUAAUACAAAUAAAGAAGCAACGCAAGAUAAAGAAUAAAAUGAGAGAAUAUAUUAUAGAGUGAUUUUAUUCAUUCCAAUUAUGUGUGUACAAAACAAAAAGAUGAGCUCUUCUUUUAUAGUUGCAUAAUCACUUCAUGAAAUUAAUGAAAAAUUAUGGAUCAUAAUUACUUGUGAGAUAGUGGGAGUUAUAAGGAAGCUAAAGGUUGCUAAUGGGAGAUAGUGAGGAAACUAAGAGAUAUAUAUUAUGAAUAUCUACAUUUAUUUUAAUAAAUUCAUAACACUCCCCCUUGGAUAUUAAUUACAAAGAAUGUGCCUCAUUAAAAUCUUUACAUAAUUGUUAUUGUGUAAUAACAAUCAAAUUAAUUAUGAGAAGAUGAAAAGCCACAUCUAAAAGAAAAUUUCUCUAUUUAUUAUAUAAUAGAGAAUAUAAAAAGAUGAGAAAUGGUGAUGCCACAUCAUCUUCUCAAGUCCCAACUUUAUAUAUAUAUAUAUAUAUAUAUAUAUAUAUAUAUUGGACAUUGGACGACAAAUUGACUUAUAUUAAUUGUUCGUAAAAGACAUAAUUAUUACACAACUGAAUAAAUAUCAUUAAUGUUCGCUUUCACUUAAAUAAAAACGUCAUUGUAUGUUGACUGAAGUUUUGUCAGUGCAAUACUGGAAGCUCACAAGUUUUUUUUUUUUUUAUAUAUAUACUGGUUACACACCAGAUUACUGUAUUGCACAGAUAUUUACAAAUAUUUACAACUGUUAUCACAAUAGUACACUGAUAUUUAAAAUCAGAUAUACCUAACUGGGACUUAUAUAUAUGAUUACAUUAAAUUUUAUGAAAUACAUGCUCAGAUAAAUUGCCCUUACAAACGAGGGAUGCCCCUACUUUACUUGCAUUUCGUAAGAAAGAAGAAAUUAUAAAUNNNNNNNNNNNNNNNNNNNNNNNNNNNNNNNNNNNNNNNNNNNNNNNNNNNNNNNNNNNNNNNNNNNNNNNNNNNNNNNNNNNNNNNNNNNNNNNNNNNNUCAUCACCACAAAAUAAUCUCCCAAUUAUUUCAAGCUACAUCACUCAAGCUCGAUUGGACUAAACGUAUGGCCACAUUCUACACUAUCCUAAAUUCCUAAUUUUAUUAACCCAACAAAUUUCUCUCUAAAGGCCUUGUUUGUUAAACGAUCAAAGUUUGAAGUUUUAUUAAUUUUAAUUUUUUUAAAUUUAUUUGUUUACUUUUUAACUUAUUUAUAAUUUUUAGACAUUGAUAUUUGAAUUGAAAAAGUGAACUUUUGUUAUUUUUAUUUGAAUGGAAAAUAAAUACUAUAUCUAAAAAAUGUCUCUAUUAAAUAUGUUUAUGUCCUCAAAUAUAAACAUAAUCCCUUCAUUCAUUUUGAUCUUAAAGAAAUAAAUAUCAAAUAACUAAGUUUAAUUUUUUUUUUUAAGAAGAAAACAAGAUGCCACAUAUAAUAUGAUAUUAAAAAGAAAAGACUUCAACCAAUUAAGACUUAAUUAGAUAUCAGAUAGAAAUACAAACGGUACUUAAGUGUGAAAGCCAAUAUUUGUUUUGUUUUUUCAGUGGAAAUAUCAAGUUUAAUUUUCUCUAUUGAGAUCAUAUAUACUGGUGAAAUUUCACCAAGCCACUUCACAAUUCCAAAGAGCUCGCUGUACAUUUUCACUAAGCCCUUUAUGCAUAAUUAUAUUGAGUCGGCUACCAAAUUCAUUUCUUUGUUGGUGGCCCUACUUGCAAAUUAUCAGUGUUUAUCUGUCCAACAGUGAGUGGUACACACACAUGAGCCAUUUAAUAUGCUCCUAUAACAACAGUUUCUAGUCGAAAUGUGAGGGAUUCACAAUUUUUGUUAUAAAGCCAAUAGGAAAAACUUCACUAUAUCUGCAUAUUUAUAUAUGACAUAAUUCUAUUUCUUGCCAUUAGAUAAUUUUAAUGCCGAAAUUAUUCAAAUUUAAAUUUUCGAUAAGUUUAUAUUCUUUCGGUCAUUUCAGGUUUGGACAAUUACUAAAAAAGGGGGUUUAAAUGAUUAGUUUAAUAAAUUUAUAAUUAUUUGUUUUUCUAACUAAACAAUAGGGAGCUAAUCGUAAAUUGCCCAUGAAAUGAAAAUGUCAUCUACUUAUUUCUUCACAAGCAAAUAAUGAUAUACCCAUCUGUAAAUACAACCCACUAAAAUCUUGAUUUCUAUUAUUUGAUAAAUAAAUCCUAUUUAACGCCAAAUAUACCUCUAUGUUGUUAACAUAUGCAGUAUUCUAUUUUUAUUCUAUUAAUACUUAUCUAUUUAGAAUAUGAAUAAAAAAGCCUCUUCUGAUUUUGAUUAUUUAUCUUUCAAACUGUAAGUACAAAAUAUUUUAAAAAUAAAACUAUUAUUAUCUUAUUGUUCAUAAUAAUAAUAAUCUUAUAUAACAGAAUUUCUUUUUNNNNNNNNNNNNNNNNNNNNNNNNNNNNNNNNNNNNNNNNNNNNNNNNNNNNNNNNNNNNNNNNNNNNNNNNNNNNNNNNNNNNNNNNNNNNNNNNNNNNNNNNNNNNNNNNNNNNNNNNNNNNNNNUAUAAUAUUUUAUAUUAAAAGAUUAUGAUAUUUUAUGUAUCAAGAAUUAGAUAACUUUAUCUAGCUUAAGAAUAGUUAGGGAAAAAACUCUUUUCAUCCUUAGGAUUUCAUUAAUAGCAUAUUUCAUCCAUACUUUUUAAAUAAUAGCUCAAAACAUCCUUACUCCAACUCACCGUUAGUUUAAUGUUGUUAACUAAUAAUUCAUUGAGGGCAAAAUAUGAUUUUUUUAUUAAAGUGAUACAAACUAUGUUAAAAUAAAUUUUUUACACAAUUAAAUAACACUACAAAACAUUAAAAUUUAUAUUUUGAAGCGAAUAUGAAAAUUUAUAAGUAGAAAGAUGUACAUUAAAUAAGGAGGAAUACCAAAAACUUUAUCUCUCUAAAUAAGUGCUAUAAAUAAAAUAAUUAUAAAAAAGAGUAGAAAACAAAAGACAACUCAAAUGUGAAACACUAUUUUUCAAUUAUAGAAUCUGACGUUGCAACCUAUAAUAACAUCUAAUUAUAUAAGGAUUAAAAAAUCAAUAAGAAUUUCAAAUUAAAAUAGAUCAAUACAUGUAAUUACAACCAAUUAAAAAUUGCAAGUAAAACUUUUAUAUUUGAAGUGAAGUAUUAAAUUACGAGACUUAAUAAAUUAAACAAUUAAAAUUUAUUCACCCUUUCAAAUUGUAAAAGUAUUAUUAGUCAAAAGUUUCAAUAAUAAACUAAACUCAAUUAAGCAAAAAAGUAUUUGGGUGUAAUUGUUUUUUUUUUUUUUUGUUAGGCGCUCUAGCUCUCUGUAAAGAACUAGAUGUUGAUAAUUCUUCUAUCAAAAGCUCUUUAAAAUACUCAAAUUUACUUUCUAAAUCGUCCUAUUAGUUAAUAUAACUAAUAAAUAAAAUUUAAAAAUUGACAUUAAAAGUUUAUGAAAAUAUUGAUAGUUGUUACUAUAUGAUGUUUCUAUUCAAUUUCAAUACUAGUGACGAUGUUAUAUUACAUUGACAUAUUUUUUAACUAGAAUUUAAAAAGAAAUUAAAGCAGUAAUAAAAUUUUAGCUCUCUAGUGUUUUCAAUCUAUUCAAUAAAAUAUAUAAUUCAAUUGAAAAUAAUAUAAUGGAAUUAGGGUCAUAUUUGUAAAUAAAAUAAAAACUCUAUUGUUAUAUAAAAUUGAUGAAAACAUAAGGGUAAUUGAGUUAGGGACAUAUUUGAAUAUAAAAUAAAAACUCUACUUUUAUACUAAAUUGAUGGAAACAUAAGGGUAGCUGAAUUAGGGACAUAUAUGAAAAUAAAAUAAAAAUUCUAUUAUUUUUACUAAAUUGAUAAAAAAAAGUAAGGGGUAUAACUGAUUUUUCUAGACUAGACUGGGCUACAGCUCGGUCUAGCCAACGUGUAGGUUUGCCAUUGGAAUAAUCAUCUUAAGCAACAAACUGUAAUUAACACAAUAUAUUUAAAUCAUUGGAAAAAAAAUCAAAAAUACAGCCAACUUUUAUUUGCUUGCAUGUGCUGAACAUCUUCUUAAUCUUCAAUUAAUUUUUAUUUUAAACUUUACCACCACUUUUCCUUGACCAUUAUUAUCUCUCGUAAUCCUUACCAUUGUCUCCCCAAGUCAGCUCACAAUGCAAUUAGAGAGUAUACUUGUAUGAAUAUGAAAAUUAUAAUUAUUUGUUGUACUUAGAUAUAGGGUUUAAAGGGUUUUCAUGUUGCCAAAAUAGAGAGAAGUGUAAAACAAUUGCUUGAAAUAGUAUUUCUUGUUUAGCGGGAUUAGAUAAAAAUUAGUUUCGGUUAUAUGUCAACCGUUUUUAUUUUUUAUUUUAAUUUCUCUUUAAUAGAAAAUCUUUUUUUGCCCUCAACGAAUUAUUAACAAACGACAUUUACUAACGAUGAGUUAACGAGAAUGAUGUUUUAGGCCAUUGUUUAAAAAGAAUGGAAGAAAUGAGCUAUUGCAUGAAACCCUAAGGAUGAGAAGGACUUUUUUUCUCAAUAAUUAUUCAAUCAUCAAAUUUAAGGAUAAAAUUGUAACUUCAAAAAAAAUCAACUAAAUGUGGUGCCAUUACACAAAGAGCAGCGACCAUGCAAGGAAAUAGUGAAACAGAAUGGCUGAGACAAGUGACGACAAUCCGCUGAAAAAAUUAUAAUAAAACAAGAAAGCGACUGAAUAGUUUUCAAAAGUCAAGUAUAUAUCAAGUAGAGUUUGCCAAGUCUUUAAGUUCGUUUAUAAAUUUAGCACCAAGCCAAAUAGCCAACCAACCACUCACUUUUGCAGAUCAAUUAGAGAGAGAAAAAAAAAUUAUGAUUAUGCUGCAUUCAUGUUUAUGCUUCUCUCCUAAGUAUCAUCCUUUACAACUGUCUGGUAUGUCUCUCGUUUCCCCACGAAUCUUCCUUCUAAUAAGUUUAUGAAAAAUGGUAUUUAUAGUCGGUGUCUCUUCACCUCUACUAAUAAAUGCUCUAAUUUUUGAGUUUUUUAAAGUGGAGGUUGAACGUUUUUUUUAAAUGUUAAAAUAUCUAAACUAUCCUUAACUUAUUUGACAAUCUUAUUUUAUUUUUUUCAUAACAUAACUUUAAAAAAUUUAUCUAUUAAAGUAAUUUUAUAAUUUUUAAUAAAAACUUUCAUUGACAAUCAAACAACUAAAAUUUUUUUAGUAAAAACUCUACAUGUAAAAGCUUUACUAAUAAAAACUCUAUUCAAAUAAGGUUUAUUUAAAAAUUUAUAUCAAACGGAGCCCUAAACUUUCAAAACAGUGAUAGAAGUAAUAGUAAAUAUUAACACACUCAAUUAUUAUUCUUUUAAUUAAUGAUAACCCCAUAUAAUUUUAAAGUUGAUUUUGUUGCCAUUCUGAAAAAUUCUUGAGGAUAAAUAUGAGUAUUGUAAGUUUUUAUAUAUUGUAAACUUAUAAUUAAUUACUUUAUCACAUAAAUAAUAAUACUAGCACAAAUAGUUGUACAUAUUUUCUAUUUUAAGAAACUAAAUAUCUCUAGGUCAGUAAUGUUAUACUUAUUUUGUUGGGAUACUUAGUUUGUAUCCCAAUUAAUGUGUCAUCAAUAAAAUUUCAUCAUUUGGAUGAUAAAUAAUAAAAUUUAAUAAUUUUGAGCUCAUGCCAUGUAAGCUAUCAACUCAAUUUGUACAAUUGCUUUCAAUAUAAAUCAUUAAUAUGUUUUAUAUAUUAAGUUUUAUUUAAGUGAAGAAUUUUGGCAUAAACCUUGAGCUAUUAAUAUCAAGAGAGAUUGUUAAUUUUCUCCCUAAUGAAAUCAAUAUACAUCAUUUACUCCCUUAUUAUUUUCAUAAUUAAUACCCAAUAAGCCCCAACACCAUAAUUUUCUAGCAUUAACCUUGUUUUUAAAAUGCAUUUUUUAUAUUUAUUAUCAAUUAAAUAAAUCAUAUAAAUUGAAAAUAAAAAAAUUAAAUUUUAAAAGGAAGAAACAUGGGUUUUGUGUAAAUAAAAAAUGAAUGAUAACAUUUUUUUUUUUAUACUUUUUGUUGCUUUUAAACAUUUUUUUCUUAUAAAUUUAUAUUUUAUAGCCGAAGAUCAAACAUCAAGCAAAUUCCUUUAAAUUUUUUUGUGCCAGAAGGGGUUAUUGGGUAUUAUUAAAACAAUAAGGAAGAAAGUAAUAUAUAUUGAUUUCACCAGAGGGAAACUAGCAAUCUCUUUAAUUUUGAUCUGUAAGUGUAUAUAUAUAUAUAUAUAUAUAUAUAUAUAUAUAUAUAUAUAUAUAUUAUCAUUAUCUAAUAAGGGAUUUAUUUAAAUUAUUAAAUAAGGGAUAAACUAAAAAAAAAAAAACACAUCCUUCAGUAUAAUAUAUUUUAUUAUGUAGUAUAAUACAGUGUGUGUUUUUCCUAUAUUUCAAGGGAUUUCUUACUUUAUUAAAGUUGCAAGACUACAUGUUAUAUAUAUAUAUUUUUUAUCUGAUAAAUUUUGGAGUAUUGCUAGAGAGAGAUAAGUAUGAGAGAAAGACGAGAGAAUUUUGCUCUCUCUCUCUCUCUACCCCUUUCUUCAUUAUUUCUCUCGUCUUUCUAUUGUCCUUCUCUACACCAAGCAUUUUCCUAAACUUUAUAUGUAUUCUUAUGGUCAUUUUAGGUUGCGUGAAAAAGCAUGUAUCGCCAAUAACACGGAUACAUGAGGGCGCUGUGAACAGAGGUAGCGAAAGCACGAAGUACUCCAUCAGAUGCCGAAGUUCAUUAUUUCACUUGACCAAUUGCAGGAAUAGAAACGGCGAGGGUAUUACAAGCGACAAACAGUGUAAACCAUUCAACAGGCACCGUGCUCCCGUCACGUUACAAGAUGAAGCUGCAUCAAGAUUCGACGAAGAUAAUAAUAAUUCCAUCAGCUUUCGCGAUGCUUUCCUCAAGAAUAUCAACGCAAUUUUUCAAUUCACUCGUCCCUUCUUUCUUCUUGGCACUGUGAGUUGCUAAUUGUUAAUUAAUUUAUAUAUAAUUAAAAAACAGGUAUAUAAAUAUUCUCAGGUGCCAAUAUCUUUUUUUUUUUUUAUAUAUAUGAAUUCAUUGUACACACCAUAUGAUAAAUUAGUCAAUGAAACAAAAAAUAAUAAAAACAUUAAUACAUCAUAUGAUGUAUAUAAUGAAUUUAUAUUUUAAAUAUAUAAAUAUUCACACUGAAGAAAUAAUACACACACAUAUAUAAAAUGAAAUAAAUUUCUAUUUACAGUUAACGUAAUAUGAUUUUUAUGUUUUUUAUCGAUUAUGUUUUAUGCAGACGAUUGAUAUGACCUCGGUAUCUCUUCUUGCACCGCAACAGUUUGCCGAUUUGACUCCGACAUUUUUUAUUGGAUUAUUGAAGGUAAAUUAUAAAUUAAUUAAUGAUAUAAUAAUAAAAAUUGCUUGUAAUGUACUGUUUAGUAAUUAUUUAAAUAAUUCUUCAUUAUAUUUCAGGCCAUAGUGCCCGGAUUACUGGUGAACAUUUAUGAGGUGGGAGUAAACCAGUUGUAUGAUGUUGAAAUAGACAAGGUAUAAAUUUCAUCAGAGACAACUAAUUUUAUGAAUAAUUAGUUCCAAUCAUAAAUAUAUACAAUCUGUGCAUUACUAAAUUAGGUAAUAAUUUCAUUAAUAUAAUUUCAUUCUUAGUUAUAUUGCUUACUUAAUUUUUCUGGUAAAUUAGUUUAACAUUGUUUAAUUCAUUGUUAAUAAAGAUUAACAAGCCUGAUCUCCCCCUUGCUUCCGGUGAUUUGUCCAUUGGAGCUGGAAUCACAAUUACUUGCACAUGUUUAUUGAUGGUAAGCAAAUGCUAACAACUACUGCUUAAGAAUUUCUGUUUAAUUUUUAGUAUUGAUUAAUUUGUUAAUUAUUAGGAAAAAUAACUCUCUAAUCUCGCUACUAUCGAAUUUACAUUUAGUAAGUGAAGCUAUAUUCCAUCUAAAUUUAUGUAAUUUUUAAUUCAUUGAUUUCAAUUUUCAGAGUCUGGCUAUAGGAAUUAUGCUUCAAUCUCCACCCCUUAUUUCUACCAUCAUUAUGUGGUUUGUACUUUCAAGUGCGUAUUCCGUCGAUGUAAGUGUGGCCCUGAGUGAGAUUCACUACUAUUUUUAUCAACUUUAAAAUUUUAAUUUGUACGUUGCACAAGUUUUUCAAAAUUAUUUUAUGUUGGAAUAAGUUUCAAGUUUAAGUUUUCAACUCACAUGUUCUUUUUUUUUUUUUAAAGUAAUCAAUAUGUUAAACUUAAUUAAUUCACAACAUUGGUCAUUUGAUCACAAUAUAUUCAUGAUCUAAUUGGUUAUUUAUCAAUCUUGUAGCUUCCCUUUCUUAGAUGGAAGAGAAAUCCAUUUCUAGCAACAAUGUAUGGGGUGCUUGAGAGGGGACUUGCAAUGCCUCUUGGUUACUUCAUGCACAUCCAGGCACGUACAAAUUGUGCCUAGCUCCGUGUCAUCAUUUGGUCACUCAUUAAUUAACUUUUUAUUUUCUUUUGUAUUUUCCACUGAAGUGGGUUUGAAAUAUACCCUGCAUGCAUACAGAAGUACGUGCUUGGAAGACCUAUAGAGUUUUCAAGAACAUUGAUGUUUGUAGUGGCUGUCAAGUGCUGGUUUUGCGUUUUGCUUGUACUUCUUAAGGUAAAUAAACUGAGAAACCUUAAAAAUGAGCAGAGCAUAUAUAUAAUGGAUUAUGGAUGGAUACUAAUGUAUUUUCUUUGGACUUUAAAUAGGAUAUGCCUGAUGUGGAUGGUGAUAAAGAACAUGGCAUUCAAACGCUCAGUAUCGCUCUAGGAAAAGAGAAAGUGUGUAAAUUAAUUCGAAUAAAUUCUAUAACCAUCAUUUUUAACUUCAAUUUUUGUCCUAGAUUUUCCUUUCUAACUGUUAUUCUUCUUAACAGGUACUUUGGCUAGGUGUUUAUAUGUUAUUAGUUGUCUACGGAGCUCUUGUAAUAGCAGGAGCUUCGUCACCCUUCCUGGAAAGCAAGCUUAUCACUGUAAGAAUGUGGGGGGGGGGGGGGGGGGGUUGUUGAUUUGUUACGGAAUUCUAGAUUUUAUUAAAAUUUGAGAAAACUAUUAAAUUAUAUGGUCUAAUAGUAUAAUGCCAUUACACUACUAAAUCAUAUGACUUAAUAGUUUUUUCAGACUUUAACAAAGCCCACAACUAUGCAUUGUAUUAUUUCAUAAGAAAUUUAGCCUUUUAUGUAUGUAUGUGAUCACAAUUACUUACUAAUUAAGAAUUAAAUUGUUUUUUUCUCGCAGAUUAUUGGCCACAGCACACUUGCAUUUCUUUUGUUGCAACGAGCUCGAAAUGUUGAUGUCUCCAGUCAAGCAGCAAUACUUUCUUUUUACAGGUUCAUUUGGAAGGUAGGUGGUUCUACUUUGAUGUGUAAUUUCAAUAUUAUUUUCAUUCAAAUCCAAGAAAGUUUUAGAAUUUUAUUUAAUUGUAGACUGACUUAUAUAGUUAUAUGUUUUUGCACGCAUUUGCAGUUACUCUUUGCUGAACACAUCCUCCUUCCAUGCGUACGACUAUGAGAUAACUUUGUUGCCAGCUUACAGCAACUAUUGUGUUGUGUUGUUGUGUUAAAACGAUAAUAAGGUUGUUGCGAUUGAUGUCAAUAAGUUGUUAGAUAAGACUUAAAAAUCUAUAUAUUCAUGCACCAAUGUUCCAGAGAUCUACUACCAUAGACAAGAUUAAUGUCAUUUAUAUAUGGCAAAAUUUACGUACUUGUGAAAGUUCAUGCACUCGAGUACAACUGGUAGCUUUUUCUUUAUUUUCUGAUGGCUAAAAGUUUAAAUCCUUGUAUCAACGAGAUUUUUGCAGUUCACUCUUUUUGACGUCGAUGUCUGGUUUCUACUUUUCAUCCUUUGGAAACAAGCCAUAGCCCUUGCAACUGCACUUAUUAUUACAUACGUGGGGAUGACGAGUUCACUGUUAGUGUUUUUGAGCCUUUUCUUUAUUCUUAUAAAUUUUAUUGACGGUCUAUAAUAUGGUGUGUUUGUCAAAAGAUAGAAAGUUUUCUGUAUGUUAAAAAUGUCACACGUCCUUCGGCAGUAAAUUUUGAACAUUAAUAUUAGAUUAGGGAUAUAUAAUAGGCGAUUAAAAAUAUUAGAGUUCUAAAUAGUAAAAAAUAUUAAUAUUACAUCACGGAUGUAAUGAAUCAUUUCAAAAAAAAUACUAACAGAGUCUAAAAAAAAUCAACUACUGGCACUCACUAAUCAAUUAAUGUCACAUUGUUUAGAAUAAUUUUUUAAGACAAAAAAUUUAAGAUGAGUAGCACUAUCUUCAAAGAGAAAUGAUAAAAAUCCCAUUUUUUUAAUCUCAAAUUUAUCUCAAUUUAUGUGUUAUUCAUUAAAUGAUUGAUAAUUGUUUUUAUAAAAUUUAAAUAAAUUAAUUACAUCAUCUUACCAAUCAAUUACUAAAUACCACAUUAAUCAAUUAAUAAAUACCACAUUAUUUGAAAUAGUUAACCAAUUACUAAAUACCACAUUAACCAAUUAAUAAAUACCACAUUAUUUGAAAUAGUUAACCAAUUAAUAAAUACCACAUUAACCAAUUAAUAAAUAUCACAUUAUUUGAAAUAGUUUUUUUGGAUGAAACAUCUGGAAUGUUUAAUAGCGCUGCAAAAGCAUCAAAUCUUCUCCACGUUCUUGGUUAUAGCACCCCAAUUCCAAGAUACUGUCUGAAAUCCAUUUUAAUUUUCCACUUACUUUUUCUUUAGGAAUUUAUUCUGAGCACUAAUGUACUGGAUCGAACAUCGAAGGCUCAUCAGAGACUAGCUAGGAUUUCAUUUUAUUUCUUAUGGUAAUUUUGCGUAGUAGAUGAAACUGAAUCACAAAAAGUAGAAAAUGAAACGUUCACUGUUCACACAAGAAAUUCCCUUGCUUAUUUUUUAAUACCAUAAGCCAGCCUAUCAAACAGAAUCGGACUACAUCAGCUUUCGCAUUCAGUGUUCUGUUACGUGUCGAAUUUAACUAACCGGCAGCAGGAAUGGUUUAAGCCUACGUGAUAGCAGUCAACAAGCAAAUGCAGGUGUCAAUGAUGACGCUUUCUGGAGAUCAAAGAAAUGAACAUUACUAGACCAAAGUGAAAUGUAUAUAUUAACCCAUCAAAUGAUUAGAAAAUAGAAAUCUGUACAGGUUGAUCGGGGUUAGCGCCAUUACGAAAUGAGAUGGCUGGAAAAACAGCAUGUAGUGUUUCUUAUGUACAGAAUCAAUACAAGAAAACGAUAAUUUGGCGAAAGUAAAUCUAGGCAUUUCAGUUGCCAAUGUCGAAGUAUCUUGGAUCUUCUGGGAAAUGGUAUUCUACAUUCAACUGCCAUCAGACGAGAAAACCUCUAUUAGCCCUAAAGUACUAGGACACCAAAUAAAAAAAUUCUUUGGUCUACAUUAUCAUGAUAAAGAGUCUUAUAAAGACUGAUCAACUUAUGCAUAUGCAGGCAGCAUCAACUGGGUAAGGCUCACUAGAAAUCUAGAAUCUAUAAAGAAUAUUUUUUCUUGAGGGUUAAGGAGUGCAAAUACGAGGCAUUACCAGAUCAUUCAGCCAACAAAUAAUUACUUCGGUAUUCUCAUUUUCUAUCAGAAUCCAGAGUACUCUAUCUAAGAUUUCAUAUGACCAAACAACCCAUCAGCUUAAACACCAUACAAAUGUGCAAAAUCGACAUAAGAGAACUUAAGAAGAGUGCAUACUAGAGCCAAAAAACAGAUGAAAUCAAGAUCACAUACCGUGCCCUCAUCAGCAUCUGAAUGGCGUUGAGGAAACACAACCUCAAGUCAUUGUAUAGAUAGAACCUUCGCUCACCUUCCUUGUCUAGACUUGCAUUUUGUGGCACAGAGAAAGGAUCAGAUUUACAUCUCUGAACCAAAUGCGACUUUUUCUUGGGAGAGGGGCAUAAAAAACGAAGAUGAAGAGCUUAACGCAGAGCACCAGCUCCAGAAUUAUUCUCGUUAACUUUAGAACAACUCUUAGCUAGCCUCUUGCAAGUUUCAUGACAUGUAUCCAUGCAGUUGGUAUCCUUACGAUCAGUCUUUGGCCACAGCCAAUCACCAUUAUUGUACCCAUUCUCAAGCAUACAGGAACGAAUACUUGCCACAUCCUAGGAUUGAGUGGAUGACUUCCUUCUAUCUACUGAAUCCACUAGAUCAGAACAUUCAAUUUCUUUAACUUCAGUAUUCUGGUCAAUAGAAUGCCUAGCAUGCGCCAUGUCAACUCCAUCUGAAUUUAAGAAUCUGCUAAACUUAACAGGGUGGCUUUGCUGUUGGACUGCAGUUACCUUUUCUCUGACUUUAGUUCCCAAACUUAUCUGUCCUUGUUUCAACUCUGUAGAUGUCGGGCCAGAAGAGGCUAGAGUAACCUUCUGUCGCAAGAAUGUCUAAUUUGAUUUGAACGGCAGCGAAAAAAAAACGAAAGAAAGAAAAACGCACAUACAAUUAGAUACAAUGAGAUUAAAAGUCCACUGUCCACACGAUAUGAACACAUAUAACUUGCAUACAAUGAAAAGACACUAAAGAGAGAAAUAGUAGCACCAAAAAAGAAAUAAUAAGCAUGAAACAAAAACAAAAAUCAGUGAGGGAGAUAUGCUUUAAGAUGUGACUAUUUUCUGAGUGAUUACAAUGAUAACAUUCUUGAAUGUUCACAAUCAAAAUGAAUACUAUCACAACAGACAUAAUAGGAACAAAUUCAAUAAAUUUAAGCUUCCUGAAAUGACCAAACCUCUGACAUUAAAAAAGUGUUUGCUUCCAGGAGAAAUCAACUUUAUGUAAUAUUCCAAUUCAACUAUGAUAAACAAUUUAAUUCAUCAACUUUCGAAUGACAUCCAGAAGCAGAAGAAGUGUCAUCGACAUUGCAAUCUAAGACAAGGUUAGUGCCCUCUACUAAUUGCUUAUUUCACAUCAACAGUUUGGUAAAAGAAAAUUUUCCUUUUCAAUAGAGCCAGAGCACUUGUUCAAUCAGAGACCAAACUAUAAUUUAAUGAAGACAAAAAGCAGGUUCUAUUGAAUCUUACUCUAGUACCAGCUGGCAUGUCACUCAAAUCGUAGUUGCACAGGUAUGUGUGAACAGGUGUUUUUUCUGGGUUGCUGAGAACCUACACAAAUCAAAUCAUUUUAAAAGUAAAUAAAUAUGUUAUAUUCUUUAAAAGAAACUAUUAAAUACCUAUAAGCAUGUAGAUUCCAGAAACCUUAAAACCAACAUCUAUAAAUAGAAAUCCCUUCCAAGGGAUCAGGCAUGUUACUUUCCAAGCAUGAAUGUAUGAGAGAAAACUAUAGGAUUAGAAUUGUUCCCAUAUGAAUGACUUCUCAGUAGAUGAUAUAACAUAGCAACAACGAGAGAUCCUUCUCAGGUACAUACACGGUAUGCUAGUUUGAUAUAUAAAUUAAGGUCCUGUUUGGGAUGCUGUGGAAAAAAAACUGUAACUAUAAAACAAAAGUUAAUAAUAUGUCGUAAAUAUAAAAUUUAAAUAGUAAUUUUAACAAAAUUAUUAAAGAUAUAAACACUUGGGUUAAAAGAUUGGGGGAUAAUCUCUUGUUGUAAAGGUUCAUUGAUACCUUGGAAGUCAAUUGUAAACAUUUGAAGCCUUGGGAGGCUUGGAUAGUGAAAUCCUCACGCUUGGUUUGCUUGGAGGCGUGGAUGUAAGUAGGGAUUGCCGAACCACAUAAAACUCUUUGUGUUUACUCUCUCUUCCCUUACUCUUUUAUUUUUUAGUAUUGUUAAAUUUAUUGUUUUUUAUUUUAGCAUUGUUAAAUUUAUUGUUUUUUAUUUCAUUAAAGCAUUAGAUUAAAUUGUUGUUCGAUUUGUUUAGCUUAUGUUUUAAGAACCCAAUUCAACCCCCUCUUCGGUUGCAUAACUAGCAUUUCAAAAUCAGCUCGGAAUUCCUCUCCUUGAAUAUUCAACUUCAAUUGCCGGCAAAUAGCAUCACUAAUUAUUUUGGUUCCAUCUGCCACUAAUACAGUCAUUGGACUAACACGUUGAAGUUCACAGCCUGUUCUUUUUGCAACCGUAGGGUCAAGCAAGUUGUGAGUACUUCCAAAAUCAUUGAGUAUGGUGAUAGCUUUCUUUUUGCUGCCGCAAAUUCUUAUAGUUUGGUGAGUGUUAGACCCACAUACGGCAAGAAGGGAAACUUGAGAUUCUUCUUUUCCUUCCACUUUGUCAACUUCAUUUGGCUCUUCACCCUUGCUAUCUUCGCCUUGUAAUAGAUAAAUAUGUUUCCGUUUGCAAACAUGACUAGGCUUAUACUUCUCAUCACAAUAAUAACAAAGCUUUUUUUUCUCUCCUCUCUUGCAUCUCUACUGCAGAAAUCCGUUUCACAGGUGGUAAUCGGCUACUGUCUGACUUUUUUGGCACAAAAGAAUUCAUUGUACUCACCCCACCUUUGUUAACCCCUUUGGCCUCCUUAAGAAUUGCUUCCAUAGCUCGUUCUUGUAGCAAGGCUAAAUCAAUGGCUUGGGUCAGAGUGUUCGGUUGAAACAUGGUGACUUGGUUCUUAAUGGCAUCCUUCAAGCCACUAAUGAAACAUUGAACAAAGAAAUCCUCUGGCAGCCCCUUUGUUCUAGCCAUCAAUGCCCAAAUUGUUCUUGAUAGGCUUUUACUACAUUAGUUUGCUUCAGCUUGGUUAAUUGCCCAACUGGACUAUCAUAAGCACUAGGACCAAAACGAGCAACGCAUUCUGUAGAAAAACUCUCCCAGUUGAUAAAAUUGCAUGGCCAGCUUCAUACCCCUAAAACUAUUCGAGGGCAUGUCCCUCUAAAUUGAUCGAUGCCAUCUCUACUUUCUCUUCUUCAACAAUUCCAUUGAUGUUAAAAAAACUAUCACACUUGUAAAUCCACCCACUAGGAUUUUCACCCUCGAAUUUGGGAAAAUUCAAUUUGGAAAAUCAAGUUUGAACGGAAUUCUUACCAGUAUGAUUGUUAUUCGAACCCCUAUUGGUUGAAGUACUUUCCCCCGUUGUUGGAAUCCCAUGUCUUUGUUGUUGUGGAUUGAUCAAAUUUCAGGCUUAUAGCAGCCAUCAUCUUAGAUAAAUCCGAUAAAAGAAGGCCGUGUUUUUCUGAGGUCUCCUGCAACUGCUUCAAAGACUCAUCCACACGCUUUUGCUCUUGUGCUCUCAUUCCAUCAGCCAAAUUGGUGCCAAAAUCGAGCUCUGAUACCAAAUCUUAUGAUCAAAGAGGUAGAGCAAAAAAAAAAAAAAAACUCUUGAAGUUUUAUUAAGUUUUUUUUUCUAAUAAAAAAAAUUAACCCCCCAAUCGAGUUCUUCUUAUACAGAGAAAACAAGAAAAUAAGCUAAUAAAGAAAACAACUAAAUAAGGAAACAGCUAGCUAGAAUCAAGGCAAAUCAAUCUUAAAAGGAAACUGUCGUAACAGGGCUUCAGUUAGACGAAGAGGAAUAGGAUUGAUGGGCUGCUGGAUUCAAACAACAGAUGGAGAGAAGGGCUUGUAAAAAUUACAGCAGAGGUGUGCAACUACUUUACUAAUAUAUUUACCUCCUCAAAUCCUUCUCAUGAUUCAAUUGAUGAUGUUAUUAUUGAUUUGGAGCCUAAAGUAACAGAGGAUAUGAAUCAAAUGAUAGACAAAGCCUUUAUGGAGGAGGAAAUUCGUCUAACCCUUUUUCAGAUGCAUCCCUACAAAGCUCUUGGGCCUGAUGGACUAAAUGCUGGAUUUUUUUCAAAAAUAUUGGCAUAUUAUCGGCGAAUUAGUAACAAAUGUUUGUUUUCAUAUUGUGAAUGAUGGGGAGACAUCUCUUAUUUGAAUAAAACUUAAAUUACUCUGUUCCUUAAAAUUAAAAAGCCAAAAAAGGGUAUCCGAAUGCAGGCCUAUUGGUCUCUGUAAUAUUAUCUAUAAAAUUAUUACAAAAACAGUGGUUAAAAAGAUAAAGCUGGAAAUCAAAGCGUUUUUGCAUCAGGUAGACCUAUUAUAGACAAUAUAAUUGUAGUUAUGAAGGUUUAUAUAAAAUUAGAUUAAGAAAAAGGAGAAAAAUGGUAUGAUGGCUCUGAAGUUAGAUAUUAAUAAGCUUUAUGAUCGCCUGGAAUGGGAUUUUCUAGGUAAGGUGAUGCUAAAAUUUGAUUUUAUUUUGCGUUGUAUUAUAGCUUCUUCCUUCUCCGUGUUCGUUAAUGGAGUUCCAUCAGAUAAUAUAAUUCCUAAAAGAGGAUUAAGACAGGGCUGCCCACUCUCUAUUUAUUUUAUGUGCCAAAGCUUUUUCAUGUUUAUUACAAAAUAUUAUUAGUGCGAACGUAAUUCAUGGUGUUGAUUUUGGGCGACAUUGUCCUUCCAUUUUUUACUUUUGUUUGUAGAUAACGGCCUCGUUUUUUAGAAAGCCUCAGUGGAUGAGUGCCGACACCUUAAGAGAAUAUUUGAGAAGUUCUCGCUUCUGGCCAGGUGUUUAAUUAAAAGAAAAUCUUCAAUACUUCUCAGUCCAAAUGUACAGGCUGAUGUUUUUGCAAAAUUAAAGGCGGCCUUCCAGCUGGAGGUUGUAUCUCAUCAUGAGAAAUAUUUCAGUUUGCCUUCAAUGCUUGGCAGAUCUAAAUAUCAAAAUUUCAGUGAGCUGAAGGAAAAGUUUUGCAACAAGGUUAAUCGCUGGAAAUCAAUGUUGUUUUCUAGUGACGAUAAAAAGGUUUUGAUUAAAGUUGUUGCCUAGGCGAUUCUAACAUAUGCCAUGAGUCUUUUUUAGCUUCAUUUAAUCCUUUAUGACAAUAUUUAAAAAAUCAUUGCAAAAUUUUAGUGGGGAUCCAAUGUGACGGCAAGGAGUAUUCACUGGAUGGAUUGGAAAAAGAUGUGUGUGCCGAAAGAAGAUGGUGGGUCUAAGCUUUCAUGAUCUCGGAGCUUUUAAUCAAGCACUUCGUGGAAAGCAAUGUCGGAGGUUGCUUCAUUGCCCAGAAUAAUUAAUAGAUAUUUACCGAAAGGGGAGUUCAUGAGAAGUAAGUUGCGAUUGAACCCUUCGUAUGUAUGGAGAAGUUUACUUUGAGGAAAGAAGGUAUAGAGAAUUGUCUAGAUUGAGAGUAGGUGAUGGUAAAUCAAUCGUUGUCUACUCAGAUAGAUGGAUGCCAAGCCUCAUAUAUUCAAGCUAAUAUCACCAAAGGUUUUGCUUGAUUACAAUAUGGUUGCUAAACUUAUUGAUAGAAGGGGCUGUUGGAACGAACAACUAAUCUGAAAAAAGUUUCUCUUAGUUGAUGUCAAGUUAAUUCUAGAAAUUCCUCUUCCUCAUGCUUCGAGACAAGACAAAUUAGUCUGGCAUGAUGAUAAAAGAGGAAUUUAUUCAGUGAAGAGUGGUUAUCAAGUAUCUUUAAUGAUAAAACUUCCUGAGAGUCCUUCUUGUUCUAAUGGUGCUCAAUGUGGAUUUAAGUUCUUAUAGUUUUACUGCGUACCAAACAAAAUUAAAAUAUUUUUUAGAGGGCCAUCAACAACUUGUUUGUUGAAAAGUCAAAAGAGUUUGGUUGGAAAAGAAAAGUGAGCCACAUACAUUGCUUUUAUUUUUCAAAGUCGGCACCAAAUUGCAAGCUGUAUUUGGCAUUUGACAAUCCUGCACCAAAUGAAGAAAAAUGGAAAAGUUAGCAAAAUUUGUCAAAUUGACAGAGAUGGAUAUUGACAAAUUGCAGAUGGAUUAGGUGGAAUAGUGCAUGCUUGAAGCCUAUAAAUUGAAGCCAUUUCUUCAUUCUAUAAUCAUCCCAAAAUUGUUAAGCUUAUAAGUUUCUAAACUUUUGAGAGAAGUGAGAGAAGUGUGUCUGGGGAAUUUAUCUUUCCUGCAGAGUGUGAGAGUACUGGGUAUAUUUAGGUUUCUGGGAAGUGAGAUUCGUUACUCAAAUAUUGUACUCUAUUAAUUGUUAAAUAAACAAUUAUUCUUUCUUGCCUCCGUGAAUGUAGAUUUAAUUACCAAACCACGUAAUUCUUGUGUCCUUUAUUUUUCUAUAAUUAUUUGGUGCGCUUGAUUCCGCAUUCCGAGCACAACAAGUGGUAUCAGAGCCGAAGGUUCGUACUUGGGGGGAUACGGUACUGUUCACGUAUACAGUACUAUUCCCGUAUAUGAUACUGUUCACAUACUGUACUGUUCACGAAUACAGUGGAGACGGCCAUUUGUACUUGGGAGACAGUCUAUUGUAAGUAGUGUGUAUUUUUGCAUGUCUAGGAAAGUUCUGUCAACAAAGGCGAUAAGAGUCUAAGGAUUCUGGUUUUUAAUUGGGACCGAGUUCUCGUCCAGUUUCUUGGGAACUUUCCUAAUGCAUUUAUUCACACAAAAUUAACAUCAUAGAGACUGUUUUUCAAGUGGAAAUAGUUCGUUGAAAAAAUGGUAGAAGGUGAAACUUUCAGAAUUGGGGAGAGAUCUACCGAGACUAUUUCAGGAGACACUUCAGGUGGGAGGCGAGAUUUGUCAAAUCACUAUUCAGCACCUAUUAUAGGAGGCCAGAAGAUCGAUGUUGAAAAGUUUGAUGGGAAAAUCAACUUCGGCAUGUGGAAGCGCGAAGUUAUGGAUGCCUUUAUUCAAAUCGAUCUCGAUGUUGUUCUGAAAAAUAAAAGACACUUGUAUGAUGAAGAAAUUUAGGAUCGUAUGAAUGAAAAAGUUUGUGGUCAUAUCAGAUCUUGUUUGACCAAGGAGGUGAAAUACUUGGUGAAAGAUGAGGAGUGUGCGGUGACUUUGUGGCGUACAUUGGAGAAGAAGUACCUGGUGAAAAGUCUUGAAAAUCGCCUUCAUGUAAUAAAUAGUGUCGUAUACAUGUACAGUGCCGUAUAUGUGAACAGUUCCCGACUCCAAAAAUACAACCAAUAGCUCUGAUACUACUGUUAGGAAAUUGGUGGGUGGAGCAGACAAGCAGCUAAAAUAAAAUUGGAAGAAAAAUAAAGAACGAGCACAAUAGAGGACACCAGAAAUUACGUGGUUCGACUUUUAGCCUACAUCCACGGGCGAAGACAGAAGGAAAUAUUUUACUAGCGAAAAGGAGUUACAAGUAUUGUAGUAUUUUAGCUCACUUCCCAAAACCCCAAUACACCUAAACUCUCUAAAUCACUAUAACAAGAGCUUAUAAAUUCAAGCUCUCUAAAUUCUCUCUCAACUGCUAAAUUGCUCUCUGAAUGGAAUGUAUAAGCUCUUCAUUUGCACUUCUAUUUAUAGCAAAAUGAUGGCCAAGAAAGUCAAAACCUUGUUCCUCCUUUUCAAACCCAUGUUCCUCAUUUUCUUCUUCAAACAUUUCUUUUUCCAUUUUCCUCUUCAAGCAUUUCGGCCUUUUCAAUCUUCAAAGCCCUGUGCCACCAAUCUUGUUUAUUCAAAGCUUCUAGAUGCAGCCAAUUUUGACAUUCUCUCACUUGGAGAUUAAAUUGAAAAUCAAUCAAUCUCCACACCAUCAUUUCUGCUUCGCCAUAAUCAUGUUGCCUACGUUUCUGCUAGGCCACAAGAGGAUCUACUCCAGAUAAACUUAUCAGUAUUUAUCAGCUUGGUCAAAACAUCUGCUAGGUUCUCCUUCGUAUGGAUUUUCUGUAAAUUUGUUCGAGAAGUAGUGGANNNNNNNNNNNNNNNNNNNNNNNNNNNNNNNNNNNNNNNNNNNNNNNNNNNNNNNNNNNNNNNNNNNNNNNNNNNNNNNNNNNNNNNNNNNNNNNNNNNNCUGUAAAUCCACAUUUCCGUCUUCCACUACUUCUCGAACAAAGUGAUACUGAACUCCUAUGUGCUUUGUCCUGGAAUGAAAGGCUGGAUUUCUUGCAAUGUGCAAAGCACUCUGACUGUCACAAAACACAUAAAUUUUCUCUUGUUUAUGCCUGAGCUCCUCUAAUAACCUUUGUAUCCAAAUAGCUUCCUUGCAAGCUUGUGUAGCUGCCAUGUACUCUGCUUCUGUUGUAGAUAAAGCCACAACGGUCUACAGUUUCGAAACCCAGCUUACAACUGCUCCUGCAAGUGCAAACACAUAACCAGUAGUGGAUUUCCUUUUAUCAAGGUCUUCUGCAAAAUCUGAAUUCACAUAGCCCCUGACAGUAAACUCUGAUCCUCCAUAACAUAAUGCAACAUCUGAGGUUCUUUUGAUGUAUUCUAAAAUCCUCUUCACAUUUAUCCAAUGCUCUCCACCAGGAUUCGCCAUGUAUCGACUGAUUGCUCCCACUAGUUGUGCAAUGUCUGGUCUAGUACAUAUCAUAGCAAACAUCAAACUUCCCACUGCUGAUGCAUACGGUACUCGAGACAUCUCCCUCCUCUCCGCUUCAUUGCUAGGACAUAUACUUGAGGAUAAUUUGAAAUUAACAAUAACUGGGGUAGAAAUUCACUUACAAUCUUGCAUGUUGAAGCGUCGCAAAAUUUUCUUCAAGUAGUUCUUCUGCAAAAGCCAAAUCUUCCUGUUAUUUCUGUCUCGGUGAAUUUGCAUCCCUAGAAUCUUAUUUGCCAGUCCCAAGUCCUUUAUUUCAAACUCCCUAGCCAACUGUGCCUUCAAUUCUUGGGCUCGAUCUUUGUUGGGACCUGCUACCAACAUGUCAUCCACAUACAACAGCAAAAUGAUGAAAUCAUUAUCUUCAAACCUCUUGUAAUAUGAACAAUGGUCUGAACUGAGUCUGUUGUAUCCAAGACUCAUAAUGAAGGAAUCAAAUCUCUUAUACCAACACCUCGGGGCCUGUUUGAGACCGUAUAGAGAUUUAUUCAGCCUGUAAACCAAAUUCUCUUUUCCUAUUUCUGCAAAACCUUCUGGUUGGAGCAUAUAUAUUUCUUCUUCAAGUUCUCCAUAAAGAAUUAUAGUUUUCACAUCUAACUGCUCAAGAUGUAGGUCAAAUGUGGCACACAUUGCCAAGACUAUUCUGACUGUUGUGAGUCGAACCAUCGGCAAAAAUAUCUCGUUGAAGUCAAUACCUUCUUUUUUAGCAUAUCCUUUCACCACCAAUCUCGCAUGAUACUGCUCUACUUGGUCAUUGCCAUCACGUUUGAUCUUGUAGACCCAUUUGUUUCCAAUGGCUUUUCUUCUGUAUGGUAGUGGUACAAGUUCCCAUGUCUUGUUCUUGUGUAGAGCUUCAAUUUUUUCCUACAUUGCUGUCAUCCACAAAGCAACAUCUGAGCUGUUUAAAGCUUCAUGGAAAGUUGAAGGCUCUCCAUCAUCUGUUAGAAGACAGUAUGCAACGUUGAUCUCUGUGACAUACUUCGAGUGCCACGCCGGCAGUCAUCUCUCACGAGUUGACCGACGAACUUCUGGAGCCUCAGACUCGACUGGUUCUUAUUCCUCGUGCUCUAGUGUUGCUUCAGAAGAAUCUGAAUAUUCUAGAUUAUUUUCGACAUAUACCAGCACAGUCUCUGACUUUUCUUUUACAGUGUCAUCAUCUCCAAUUUUCAUUUGCAGUUGAUCUUUUACAAAGAUAACAUCUCUGCUGAUGACGAUCUUAUAGGCAGUGGGGUCCCACAGAUGAUACCCCUUUACUCCAUCAGCAUACCCCAAGAAGAUACAUCUUCUAGAUUUUGGAUCCAGCUUUGUUCUUUCUUGGGCAUUGUACAUCACGUACACAGGACAUCCAAAUGCAUGUAGGUAUGAAUAAUCAGCUGGCUUUCUAGUCUACAUCUCUAUCGCUGUCUUCAACCCAAUAGUUGUAGAUGGCGACCGAUUUACUAUAUAACAGGUAGUUUUAGCUGCUUCUGCCCAGAAUGAAUUGGGUAGACUAGCAGUCUUCAACAUAGCUCUUAUUCUUUCUGUAAGAGUUCUGUUCAUCCGCUCUGCCACUCCAUUUUGUUGAGGAGUAUAUGCCAAUGUGAACUGCCUCUGAAUACCUUCUUGCUUACAGAAAGUAAGAAACUCACAGUCUAUAUACUCUCCACUAUUAUCCGUUUUCAAGCACUUGAUCUUUUUACCAAAUUCAAUUUCUACCCGCGCUUUGUAUUCUUAAACACAGGAAAUACAUCUGACUUUUUCUUAAUUGGAUGCACCAACAUCUUCUGGAAUAAUCAUCAAUGAAAGUCACCAUGUACUUUGCACCUCCCAUGGAUAUAUCCGAUGAUUCCCAAAUAUCAGAAUGAAUCAAGUCUAGAAUGCAUUUACUUCUAGCAAUAGAUUUACUGAAUUUUAAUCUAUGCUGCUUACUUGUAACACAAUGCUCGCAAAAUGGUAAACUUACCGAUUUGAGCCCCGGAAGUAAUUUUCGCUCAGAGAGAAUCUUCAAACCAUGUUCUGACAUGUGGCCAAGUUUGAAAUGCCACAUCAUCGUUGAUACUUCUCCAUUUGACGCGACACACACAUUAGCCUCCUAUAGUGUUUCUCCUUUAAGCAUGAAUAAAUUAGCACCGAUCUUUUCUGCCUUCAUCAAUACAAACGCUCCUUUAACGAUCUUCAUAAUUUCAUUCUCUACAUGAGUUUUGCACCCAUGAUUGUCUAUUUGUCCCAAAGACAAUAAAUUUUUCUUUAGGCCGUUGACAUGUCGUACCUCCCCAAUUGUGCGAAUUGUACCAUCAAACAUUUUUAUUUUGAUAGUACCAAUACUAGCGAUCUCCAAGGCAUGAUCAUCUCCCAUAUAUACAGAUCCUCCUGAGAUAGGUUCAUAUGUGUGGAACCACUUUCUCCGAGAGGUCAUGUGCCAGGUAGCUUCUGAGUCUAUAAGCCAAACAUCAGACAAUCAUUUUCUGCCUUCUGAAAUAGUUCUUGCCUCGCUGUAGAGUAUUUUACCAUCAUCCGAGGUACUUGCUAUACAACCCUGAGCAUUUGAUGACUCAGGUUCUUUACACUCUUUUCUCUUCUGGUUACUCCAACACUCCUUUUUUACGUGCCCUUUCUUGCCACAGUUGUAGCAUUUAACAUUCUUCUUACUUUUGGAUUUUGAUCUACCAUGAUUUUGACUUCCACUGGAGCCACGUUCUGCUGAUCUCCCUCUCGUCACCGAUAGCGCCUCCGCUUGCUGCGAACUUGCUUGUUUGUUUUCCUUAUUUUCCGCCUGCUCUCCUCAUUUAAUACGGAGGCUGUAACAUCGUCGAAAACUAGACUCUCUACUGGAUUAUUGUUCGUCAGGUUGAUGAUGAGUUGAUCAUACGAAUCUGGUAGACUUUGAAGUAGAAGCUUUGCACGUUCAUUCUCCUCUAUAUUAUGACCCAACGUUGUGAGUUGUGAAAAUAGAGUCUUUAAGGUGUUGAUGUGGUCGGUCACCAUUGUAGAUUCUACCAUUUGAAGAGUAUAAAGUUUUCUCUUCAAGAAGAUUUUGUUGUGUAGUGACUUGGCCUCGUACAAUUUUGUGAGAGUAUCCCAUGUUUCCUUCGCUAUAUUUUUCUCUGCCACACUGGAUAAUACUCCAUCUGCAAGUGCUAAGUGUAGAUAAGAAAUGGUGUUACCAUCUAUCUCGUUCCACUUGUCAUCAGUUAUCUCCAUGGGCCUUUCUCCAAUUGCUGCCAAGCAAUUAUUUUUCCUCAAUAUAGCUUUCAUCUUCAUUUUCCACAACGAAAAAUUAUUUCUGUUAAACUUCUCAAUUUCAUACUUUGCUGCCAUUUUGUUGAUAAAUACCGCACACAAGUUAGUGUACCACCUUGAAUAGUUGUGAGUAUAUGUGAGAAUGCACACCAGGAAAGUUCUCAGGAAAGAUUGGAGGGGUCACAAUAGUCCAACUUAAAACCCAGACUCCUUAAGCUCUUAUCGCCUUUGUGACAGAACUUCCCUAGACAUGUACAAAACCACACAGUUGCUUUACUCACACCAUUAUUCCCUGUUUUGCACCGUAAACUUCUUGGAUCGCUUCCACCGUUUCACGUGAAUAGUACCGUAUACGUGAACAGUACUGUAUAUGUGAACAAAACCGUAUACGUGAACAGUACCAAAUAUAUGGUUUUCGAAUGAAGCCUGGGGUGUCAAUGCACGAUCAUGUUUCAAGAUUUGAAAACCUACUUGCUGAUUUGAAGAAUCUUGAUGAAAAUAUUAAGGAUAAAGUCAAGGCUAUGAUUCUGUUACACUCACUACCAGAGGAAUAUAGCCAUUUUAUGACUACUUUGAUAUAUGGGAAGAGUGUUAUUGUCUUUAAAGAUGUUUGCACAGCAUUGACUAGCUUAGAGAUUCGGAAUAAUGAUAAAAAUUCUGAACGAGCAUCGUCUGAAGCUUUGGUGAGCAGAGAUUGGGUGAUGGAGAAACAAAAGAAACGUGGUGGAAAGAAUUCUCGAUCCAAAUCGAGAAGUAGAAAUAUAGCUCGAGAUGAGUGUGCCUUUUGUCAUGAAAAGGGCCAUUGGAGGAAAGAUUGUCCAAAGGCUUAAAAGAGAGAUGGGAAGAAACCAGCAGCAGCAAACAUGGCACAAAAAGAUGAGGGCUCUGAUUAUUCACUAAGUAUUACUCAUGCAGCAUACAUGGCUAGUUCGAGCGAGUGGAUACUUGAUACUGGAGCAACCUAUCAUUUGUGUCCUAUUAAGGAAUGGUUUACGAAUUUUCGUAAUCUGAAAUUCGGUGUAGUUGUGAUGGGGAAUGAUCAACCUUGUCGCACAAUGGGGAUAGGAACAAUUCGGCUCAAAAUGUUUGACGGAAUGGUCAGAGAACUCAAAGAGGUUAGAUUUUUUCCAGCUUUAAAGAAAAAUCUAAUUUAUGUGGGUGCUUUGGAAGCUAAAGACUACAAGGUUACCAUUGAAGAUGGUAUAAUGAAGUUUACACAUGGGGCUAUGGUGAUUCUGCAAGGGGUUCGGCGUCACAAUCUGUACUAUUUGAAGGGAGGUACAACUGAUGAAGCAAAUGUUGUUGAGGCGCACAGUGACACCACCAAGCUAUGGCAUGUACGACUGGGACAUGCUGCAGAGAAGUCUUUGCAAACUCUGAUGAGGCAUGGACUCUUAAAAGGUACCAAAACCUGUAAAUUAAAUUUCUGUGAGCAUUGUGUAGUAGGCAAGAAAACAAGGGUCAAGUUUGGUACAGCUAAUCACGAUACUCGUGAGAUCCUUGAAUAUGUUCAUAGUGAUGUAUGGGGACUAACCAAGACUGCAUCAAUUGGUGGAAGCCAUUAUUUUGUUACAUUUGUUGAUGAUUUCUCUAGACGUGUGUGGGUGUACACCAUGCGAGCAAAGGAUGAGGUUCUAGAGAUUUUCGUGAAAUGGAAGAAAUUAACAGAGACUUAAAUUGGUAGAAAGAUCAAAGUAUUACGAUAUGAUAAUGAGGGUGAAUAUACUUCUGAUCCAUUCUUGCAAGUAUGCCAGAACGAGGGUAUUAAAAGACAUUUCACGGUGAGACAUACUCCGCAACAGAACGGUAUGGCUGAGCGUAUGAAUCUUACUUUACUGGAGAAGGUACGGUGUAUGUUAUCUAAUGCUGGUUUAGAUAAAAAAGUUUUGGGCUGAAGCUGUGAGCUACGCAAGUCACUUGGUAAACCGGUUACCUUCUGUUGCAAUUGAAGGUAAAACUCCUAUGGAAAUGUGGUCUGGAAAGUAUGCACAAGACUAUGAUUCCCUUCGUGUAUUCGGGUGUUCAGCUUAUUAUCAUGUCAAAGAUGGUAAACUGGAUCAUCGUGCUAGAAAAUCUAUCUUUGUGGGAUUCAAAGGUGGAGUAAAAGGCUUCAAGCUUUGAGAUCUCGAAGAUAAAAAGUUUGUGUGUAGCAGAGAUGUCACAUUUGAUGAAGUUUCAAUGAUGAAAGCUUCAAGUUCUCAGCAGGUGGAGAACAAGACCAAAGAGGUAUUACAGUGGGUGGAGUUUAAUGCAACUCCAUAUGUACCAGUUAGUUCUACAUCCAAAAAGAGUUCAACUAUGGAGGUGACACCUAGAGUUGAAGAAGAGGUUGUUUUUUCUGAUGUCCCACAAAAUGAAGAAACAAUUGAUGAUGAAGAUAAUGAUGAUUUUAUAGCAACAAGGAGGCCAAGAAGAGAGAUAAAGAAACCCGGAUGGCUUACUAAAGAUAUGGUGGUAGCCUAUGCACUUCCAGUUAUUGAUGAUGACAUCCCCAACACUUUCGGUGAAGCAUUACGCAGCAAUGAAAGUGAUCAGUGGAAGUCAGCCAUGGAGGAAGAGAUGAAAUCUCUCCAUCAAAACCAGACUUGGAAACUUGUAAAGUUACUAAAGGGGAAAAUGGCUAUUGGCAAUAAAUGGGUCUACACCAAAAAGCAAGGAUCUCCAAAUCAAACAACUCCUCGAUACUAGGCAAGGCUCAUGGCAAAAGGUUUUACUCAAAAGGAAGGUAUUGACUACAAUGAAGUUUUCCCUCCAGUUGUAAAACAUACUUCCAUUCGUAUCCUACUUGCCUUAGUUGCAGAAUAUGAGUUAGAGUUGGCUCAGUUGGAUGUUAAGAUGACGUUCUUACAUGGAGAUUUUGAGGAGGAAAUCUAUAUGAUUCAGCCUUGUGGUUUCAGAGUUGCUGGAAAGGAGAAUCACGUGUGUUGGUUGAUUAAAUCUUUGUACGGACUGAAGCAAUCGCUAAGGCAGUGGUACAAAAGAUUUGAUCAAUUUAUACAAGGGCAGAAAUUCACCAGAAGUGAACACGAUCAUUGUGUUUACUUUAAAAGACUACUAGAUGGCGCUUUCAUCUAUUUGUUACUCUAUGUCGACGAUAUGCUUAUAGCUUCGAAGAAUAGAGAUGAGAUCGAAAGAUUAAAGAAGCAACUGGCUUCUGAGUUUGAGAUGAAAGACUUGGGUGAUGCACAAAGAAUACUUGGGAUAGAGAUUCGUAGAGACAAGAAGAAUGGGAGCGUAUGGUUGACUCAAGAGUCUUAUUUGAAGAAAGUACUAGAAAGAUUCGGCAUGGAUGACAAAACUAAACCGGUAUGUACACCUCUAGCUCCUCAUUUCAAAUUAAGCUCUUUUUCAUGUCCUAGAUCUCAAGAGGAGCACGAUUACAUGGCUCGUGUUCCAUAUGCUAGUGCUGUGGGUAGUCUUAUGUAUGUUAUGGUAUGCACAAGGCCCGAUAUAUCUCAAGCAGUGAGCAUGGUUAGUAGAUACAUGCACAAUCCAAGUAAAAAUCAAUGGCUUACGGUAAAGUGGAUUCUCCGAUAUUUGUAUGGGACAAUGGAUGUUGGGUUAUUGUUCAAGAAUGAUUGUGGUCAACAAUGUGUUGGGUAUUGUGAUUCUGAUUUCGCUGGAGACCUUGACAAGUGAAGAUCAACAACGGGCUACGUAUUCACAUUGGGUGGAGGUCCGGUUAGCUGGAGGUCAAUUCUACAAUCAACAAUUGCUUUGUCCACUACGGAAGCAAAGUAUAUGGCAACAACUGAAGCUGUAAAAGAAGCUAUCUGGUUGAAAGGCUUGUUAGGUGAUUUGGGAGUAAUCCAGGAGAACAUUACGGUAUUCUGUGAUAAUCAAAGUGCGAUAUUCCUUGCGAAGAAUCAAACAUAUCAUGCUCGGACGAAACACAUAGAUGUGAAAUAUCAUUAUGUGAGAGAGAUUAUCGAGAGCGGUGUUGUGUUGUUGAGAAAUAUUGAUACCAAAGAUAAUCCAUCAGAUAUGUUGACGAAGGUAGUUUCUGGAGUUAAGUUUCAACAUUGCUUGAAACUAAUUCAAAUCCUUCGAUUGUGUUAAGAUAUGUCCUUCGGGAAUUUUGAACUACAGUUGGCUUGAUCCCAAAUUUUGGGUACGUAGGCAGUCACAGAGAUACAACCACUUUGGGGAUGAUGAUUGGUUGGUAGUCGGCUCAGAUUUAGACAAAUCUUCGCCGAUGUGGAGAAUUGUUGAAAAGUCAAAAGAGUUUGGUUGGAAAAGAAAAGUGAGCCACAUGCAUUGCUUUUAUUUUUCAAACUCGGCACCAAAUUGCAAGCUGUAUUUGGCAUUUGACAAUCCUGCACCAAAUGAAGAAAAAUGGAAAAGUUAGCAAAAUUUGUCAAAUUGUCAGAGAUGGAGAUUGACAAAUUGCAAAAGGAUUAGGUGGAAUAGUGCAUGCUUGAAGCCUAUAAAUUGAAAUCAUUUCUUCAUUCUAUAAUCAUCCCAAAAUUGUUAAGCUUAUAAGUUUCUAAGCUUUUGAGAGAAGUGAGAGAAGUGUGUCUGGGGAAUUUAUCUUUCCUGCAGAGUGUGAGAGUACUGGGUAUAUUUGAGUUUCUGGGAAGUGAGAUUCGUUACUCAAAUAUUGUACUCUAUUAAUUGUUAAAUAAACAAUUAUUCUUUAUUGCCUCCGUGGAUGUAGAUUUAAUUACCGAACCACGUAAUUCUUGUGUCCUUUAUUUUUCUAUAAUAAUUUGGUGCGCUUGAUUCCGUAUUCCGCGCACAAUAUUGUUGCCAAUUAACGGAAAUCUCUAUAAGAGAAAAAUCUUAACUGACUCUUGGUGCCCUAGAGGUAAACUUGAUUAUGAUACUACUAUGCAUGCUCUGGUGAAGUUCUGCUCUUUUGGUGCUUUAUGGGAAAUUCCUCACUUAAGCUUCAAGGAGCCGGCCUGGACUCUAAUGGAAAAGGGUAAUAUAAAUGAUUUUGGCUUGUUUAUGGUGACAACCUAGAGUAUUUGGAGUUAAGGAAUAAUUGGAUAUUUAGAAAAGGGAAUUGUUGUCCGCUACUAACCUAUAACAGAGCAGUGGAUCUGUUGCAUUCUUAUAGAUCUCUCUAAAAGCAUUCCCCAAAUAAGUUGGUCUUGAGAGGAGACUCUUCCAUUUAAUAUUGGUCUCUCCCUGAUGUUUAUUGGAAUAAAAUGAAUAUAGGUGUGGCUGUAAAUUAUGAUGGAGGAUUGCUUGGUUUAGAAGCAAUUAUAUGGAACUCCCAAGGUGGAUUCAUGGCUGCAGCAAGUUGGAGAUAUCAUUUUCUAAAUGAUGUUGAAGCACUCGCUAUUUAUAAAGUUUAAAGAUGGCCAAAUUAAUGGGGUUUUAUCCUUUGAUUAUUGAAUUGGAUUUAAAAAAUGUGAUUAGGCUGAUUACUAGCAAGUUUGCAAGUAGAAGUGAGAUAGGAUGGUUAGUUGACAAGUUUCAUGACCUGGCUAAGGAUGUUGCUAAUUUAGUGUUUAAGUAUGUACCUAAAGCUUGUAACUCAGUGGCUCACAAGUUGUCUAAAUUGGCAUUGUUGAAGCCAAACUGUUGUCUUUGGUAUGAAGAAGCUCGUGCUGAACUCAUGGCUUUGUUAUCUUGUGAUAAUCGUUUGUCUGAUUAAAACCUUAAGGAGAUUGUUAUCUUACAUAAUUAUAACUAAAACCUUAAUGAAUAAUUAUUUUCAUUAAAAAAAAAGACAUGGGCCACAAAAAUGACAGCAGGGGGAAAAUAUCAUCUUCAUUAGUAAUUAUUAGUUAUAAUUACUCUAUCCUGCUCUCUCUCUCUCUUUCACUUAUUUUCUUAAACUUCUUAAGUAAACUAUCUAAUUGAUAUGAUUAUUUUCAUUCUCUCCCUAACAUAUUUUUGUUUUAGAAAGAAAAAAGUUUUUGAAUAUAAGUGAGACCAUUUGCAUUUAAAUAAUUAUUUUGAACAUUCAAAAUUUAAGAAAUAUUUUUGUUCCUAAAAUAUCAUUGAAGUAAUUCGUUAUUAAGGAUAGCUUUCUAGUGCAGGCGCCCUCAUUUUUUUUUCCAUGUGAAUACGUUUUUAAAACAUAGAAUUUAAUAGAUUCAGAUUUUGAUACUAUUAAACCACACGGCUUUAUAGUGCAUUAAAAAAUAACACUAUUAAACUGCAUGGCUUGACACAUAUCCGUAUUUAAAAAAGGGAAAUUAUCACUGCACCACCUCUUUUUUUCCUUAUGUUCAUCCAACCACCAAAAAAUUCUAACAUGUUCUCUGCACAACUCUUUUUUUUUUUUUAAUUUGUAUCAACUAACCACUUUUUAACUAAUACCGUUAAAUAAUUUAAAUGAAAUGAUAAUUUUACCCCUAAAUAAAUUAAAAGACCAUUUUAUUUUACAAAAACUUUGAAAAAUAAAAAAUUAUAAUUAUAAAAAUACCCCUAAAUUUAAUAAAAAAAUAAAUCUCAAACAAAUGUGCUCCACUGAUUUUUAUUUAAUUUAGAUUUUGUAAAAUUUUAAUAAUUAUUUUUAUUAAAAAAUUAUAAUGUUGCAAAAUUUUAAUAAAAAUGACUGAAUUUAUUUAUUAAAAAUUAUAAUUUUGCAAAAUUUUAUUAAAAUAACUGAAUUUAUUUAUUAAAAAAUAAAUCCCAAAAUUUUAAUAAUUUAGGGGAUUUUUAUUAAAUCCCAAAAUUUUGUAAUUAUUUUUAUAAUUAUAAUUUUUAUUUAGAUUUUGAUUAAAAAUAAAAAUUCUAAUUUUGGGAUUUAUUUUUUAUUAAACUUAGGGGUAUUUUUAUAAUUAUAAUUUUCUUAUUUUUCAAAAUUUUUGUAAAAUAAAAUGGUCUUUUAAUUUAUUUAGGGGUAAAAUUAUCAUUUUAUUUAAACUAUUUAACGGUGUUAGUUAAAAAGUAGUUAGUUGAUACAAAUUUAAAAAAAAAAAAGUGGUGCUGAGAACAUAUUAGAAUUUUUUGAUGGUUAAAUGAACAUAAGGCAAAAAAAAGGUAGUGAAGUGAUAAUUUCCCUUUAAAAAAUAAGAAUACUCGCAUUUUAGAAUGAUUAUAUAUAUCAUUAUAUAUAAUUAGACAAAAUGAAUAUUCUUUUAAAUUUGCGUGGUGAGAGUUUGCGGGUGAAAAGGACGAUUGCAAUGAUUUUACAUGAACAAACAAACGUUUGAUAAUUAAGAUGGAUAUAUUCUAUAAAAGGAAAUUGAAUUUAAGAAUUCCCUUAAAGCAUGUUUGGACAUGAAAUAGAUGGCGCUUUUUAUGUCGUAUGAUAGGAAAUUAAUUUUGCGGAAAGACUUUAAAGAGCAAUAUUCAAUCAAAUUGCGUGGAGUCCUUAACGCACGGAUGCCGUAAUAUGUUUGAUAAAUUGACCAAUUAGGUGUUUGAUGAAAUGCCAGAUAUUCAAAUAUUGGUGGAAAAUCAACUGUCCUCAACAUCGCAUGAAGAUGAGCAUGCACGCAAGACUAAUAGAUGAUUUAAUUAAGAAUAAGAUUAACGAUGUCAAAAUAAAAUACGUACACAACAGCUUGUGCUUAUCAUUAUAUACUAUUGGGGCUCUCCAAGUUACAUUUAGUGUAACUUACAAUAGCUAAAAUUUAUCUCCUGGCUGACCAUACAUUAUUUUAUUACUUAUUUUUGCACCGAAAAAUUUAAUUAUAAGUUAUAAAAAAAUAUGUAACUCAGAAAAGCCCCUAUUAUACAUCUAACUAAUACAAACUAAGAAGUUAGAAUAAUAGAAUCGAUGUUUUGAUUAAAGAUUACAUAUUUUUAUUUACAAUUCUACUCUUUUAUGACUUAAUUUGAUCCGUUAGUCAAAGUGACGCCUAGCUCCCAUCACCAGGAAAACUCACAGCUGCAUGCAAACUUGAACGAUGAGCACUUGGUUGAGAUUGGGGGGUUAUGGGAUGGGUUGAAUAGGGUUCGUAAAAAUUUAAUCCAACCCAUUAUUGAAUUGGUUGAGAUAAGAUAAACUUAAUCCAAUAAAAUAAAUAUUUUAACAUAACUUAAUCCAACCCUUAAAUCAUUUGGUUAAAUUGAGUUGCAUUGGAUUGAUUGAGUUGAAGGCUAAAUCAAAAUUAAAAAUUAAAAAAGAAAAAAUAUAUGAAAAUUUAAAAUGAAACUUAUUAAAAUGAGAUAUAAAUUUAUUAUAAUAUGAAAAUUUCAUUCACUGUCUAGUGUUUGACUAAAAAAAGCUACAAAAUCAUCUUAAAAUUAAGAAAAUUUCAACAAUGAACUUCUAAACUUUAUUUUCGACUUCCCACAUCUCUUUUUUGAAUUCUAAAUUAAGACCUUCUACAUAAUUAGCUAGCAUCAUGUCCAAUUACAAAAUAAAUGUGAUAUAUAAUUAUGUAUUGUUCAGUAUUUAAAAAAAAAAGGAAAAAUUAAAACCAACUUAAUUUUAAAAUUAAACUUAGAAGAUAAUAAGAUUACCGAAAUGAGAGAGUGAUUUUAAUUUUAAAAUUAGAGUGUAGAGCAAUACAUACGAGAAUGAAUUUUUUCUAUUAAAAAACUAAAAAAAAUUAAAAAUUAGGUUAACUGUUUAGGGUUUAGAAUUUUAUAAAAAGAGUUAAUUACGAUGAAUUCAUCGAGCCCAAUCUAAUUUAAUUAUUAAUUGAGUUUAAAAAAUUUAACUCAAUUAAUCUAUUAUAAUUCACUCAAAAAAAUAAAUUAAAUUAAAUUGAAUUGGAUCGAAUCCCUAGGUUGGAUUGAGUUAGUCCGUCCCUAGUUAGGACCACCACGUAGCUAACCAGACAAAUAAUUAAUUAAUACUGUUGAGUAGGAUAAGAUAUGCGUGGAGUUAAAAAAAGAUUAAUUUUGAACACAUAUAUAGCUUAAUAGCUAGCUAUAUGAUUCCGACCUGCACGGCACAGACAGGUACAGAAACUUACUUGCAAGCAAGUCGCGGUUGGUGUGGUAUUCGUCUACAUUUUUUGACUUCUUGUUAAUAAAUAAUGGAUUAAUCAUUUUCGGCUUAUUAGUUUUUCUCUCAAACUGUGUGAAACUGGGGCCAAAAGUAGAUAUCCUACAGCCACUAGACUACUAGAGGCUGAUGAAGAGGAUUUAAAAAUCAACCCUUUGAAUCAACUGCUUUGAUCGUGACGUAACCAAUGUUUGGAUUCUCUAUUUCAAAUAAUAAAAUAACAAAAAUAUCUUUGUCUUUCCUCAAACUGUCAACAUAUGCAUGCCAUAACUUUAUUGGAGUGUUGACGGGGCUAGCAAGUUCAAGCAUAUUUGAGGCUAUUAGCCAAAUUGUUUUAGUAAGCCACUUGUCCUUUAUUCACCCAAAUCUCAAAGCUCCACAUGCAAUUUUUUUUUUUUUUUAUGUUAUGAAAGAUAUGUAAUCUUGAUAAUUGAGAUAUGAUAACAGAGCCUUCAAGUUCCGUCAAAAAAUAUUAUUUUUUUAAGCAAUACUUAUCACUAAGAAUAGCUCUAAAUAAGGGAGAAAAUUUAGUAUAAAAACUAACGUUACAUCAAAUGCAUUAUAAAAUUUUUAUAAAUGUUACAUCAAAAGUAUUAUAGAAUUUUUACAAAGGAGGAAAUCUCUAGUGUUAUUCUAUUGGUGGGAAUAUAAUAGUAAUACAUUAGAUGUAUUAUAAAAUUUCUCCAAAAAAUAAAUCUCUAUUAUUAAACUAUUGGUGGGAUUAUGAUUGUUUACAUAGGGAAGGAUAACAACUAAAGAAGUAGGAAAUUAAACAAUAAUAAAUUACUAUUUUUUUUCUUUUUUCAUCUUAAAAAGUAAAGUAGCUUAAAAAGUAUAUUUGUAGUACUGACGAGCCAAUUAAAACUGGUUAAAAACCAAUCGAUUAAACUCUUAGGAGUAAUAAAUUACUAUUAUUAAUUACAUUGAACUAGCUACCAAUUAAAUAGAAAAAAAAAUUUCAAUUUAGAUAUAAAAUAAAUACCAAUUAUUAGAAAAUCUAUAAAAGACAAAAAAAAUCCAUCUUAUAGUAAAUUUUCUUGUCUUAUAAUGAAGUUUUUUGUCCUAUAAUGAUAGUGUGUACUAAUUGUAGUACUAACUGUGGUAAGUACAUCCAUACUGUAUCUUUUAACGUGGUACCUUCACAUCUAAUUGGCACAAGAAAAUCCCCCAAGUUACUUAUCAGCGAAGUCAUGACUUUGUAUUGUUUAUGCAUUCUAAGUUUUAUUGUCUCAGUGAAAGUAAUGGGAAUAUAAAUUUUAUGUAAAAAUUAUUGUGUACAAAUUGAUAUCAUUCAAAUAAUGAUUUGCUACUUCUACCACCAUUACAUGGGUUCCACUUGGUAUAUUUUCAUUCGCUGUAAUAACUUUGACAUUUUCAUGUAGGUGUCUAACCAAUUUGUUGAAUGAUAUAUUAACUGUUCCAAAGAGAGUUUGUACAUAUAUCUCCAGCAUUACUCUUUCCAAAAUAAUAAUAACAAUAAAUAAACUAGUGCUAAGUUAAUUUUGAUAUUUGCAUUUCAAUUUUGCUACAAUAACUUCACAUUCUCUUUGGAUUCGUUUGUAACCCGCAGUCACUUCUUGUUACAACAAUAGAGAGGGGAACAAUUUUGACGCCUCAAGCUGAAAAAAAAAAUUAGGGAUCACAUAGAUUUUAGGGUUAUUUUGGUUUGAUUUGUAUAAUAAUUGUAAAUUAUAAAAUGAUUAGAAGAAAUAUUGAUAUUCAUAGGGCGAACUCAAUGAAGGCCCCCGAAAGACUGCUUUCAUAUUAUCUUAAGACUAAACUAAUUUAAUUUGUAACUCUUCUAAGGGUCAGUUUGGGAAUGUUGUAUUUUUUAAAAUAAUUGUUGUUAACUUUGCUAUAGAAAUAAUCAGUUAUAAAGAUAAUCAACUAAGUGUUUGGUAAAUCUUGUUUUAAAAAGUACUAUGAGUUUUGAAAGUAAUUAUUGGUGUUUGGUAAAAUUUACUGUUAAACUGCUGUGAGAAAACGAAUAACUAAUAUAAUAUACAUAAUGUAGAAUAAAAUUUACUUCCAUAUAUAAAACAUGUACAUAAAAUAUUUUUAAUUGUGUAUUAUAAUAACUUUAACUAAAAAUAAAAUUUAUAUCAUAUUGCCGUAGAGAUCUUUUGAUGUAAUGUAAAAUAUAAAGAAGAAAUAGAGAAAAUAAAAGAAUGAAUGAAUUAUAAUAAAAAGGGAAAAGGACAUUCAACCCCCCAACGUUUAGGAAAAGGGACAAAAAACCCCUCAACGUUUCAAAAAGGACUUAUAACCCCCUUUCCGUUAAUAAACACUGUUUGUUUUAACAUUAAAUUUAUUUUUUAUUUUUAAUUACUAUUAUACCCUUAUAAUAAAUAUAAAUUAAUAUAUUGAUUUGAGACAUGUCACAAUUAAUAUUUUUUAAAACUAAAAAUUGAGAUACAAUUACAUUUUUGUCCAAAUUAUUUGCUAUAAAGUAUACCUUUCUAAUGAUCAAACCUUUCAUAUGUGAUUAUUACUAAUAAAACAAAAUUUGGUUAAACCUUUUUUCUUUGAGGAAUCAAAACCAUAUUAUUAUUGUUAGAAAGGUAUAAUUUAUAGUAAAUAAUUUUGGGAAAAAAAUAAUUGUAUCUCAAUUUUAAGCUUUUAAAAAAUUAUUAAUUAUGAUAUAUCUCAAAUUAAUAUAUUAAUUUUUUUAUUAUAAGGGUAUAAUGUUAAUUAAAAAUUAAAAAUAAAUUUACUGUUAAAACAAACGGUGUUUGUUAACGGAAAGGGGGUUAUAAGUCCUUUUUAAAACGUUCAGGGUUUUUUUGUCCAUUUUCCUAAACGUUGGGGGGUUGAAUGUCCUUUUCCCUAAUAAAAAUUAUUGAAAUAUUGAUGUCUUUUCUAAUUUAAAUAAGGAUAAUUUUGAGUUUAGGUAAUAAUUUUAAGAAUACUUAUGAAAUUUUAUUAAAGUAUAAAAUUGAUUAUCAAAAUCAGAAUUUAAAAGUUACUCAUUUUCUUCUUUUCAAAAUCAGUUGCAAGAGAGUUGAUUUUGACAAAAAUGAUUUUGAUUUUUUUUACCAAACACCAAAAUUAACUUUAGAUUUUCAAAAUUACUUUUAAAUCUCCCAAAAAAAAUCUCAAACGGGCUCUAAGUUUUCAAUUUUUUUAAAAAGUUGUAUGACAUAUUUAAACCACGUUGAAUUCUUUUGGAUUUUUUUAAAAUUUAGCCUAAUAUUCAUGAUUUAUUGGACUGGUGGGUCUAUUAAGCCUUAAUUUUAUAUAUCAUUAGGUCUUAAAUGCAUAAUAUUUUUAAAAAAUAUUCUUAUUGUUUUAAUAAUUUUCAUCAUAUAAUCAAUAAAUUUUCAUUUAUAUUAUUUAAAUGAAUCGUUCUUAUCUCUAAUUCCUCUAUGUUUGUCAUUAUUUGUAUUCAUAUAGAUUUGAUGUCUCCCAUUUCCUAAUCGCAACCUUUUCUCACUAAGAAGGAAGAUUUCCUCUAUAAUUAUAGUUUGAUUAGGAUGAAAAAACUUACUGAGUUUCCACGCAAAACCGGCCUACACCCUAAUCCCUAAUAGACUUCGACGUCACUGCUACUGACAUGCCACAGUUAUUCUUUGCUUUUGUCGUCGUCUUCAAAAAAUUUGUAAUUGAAUUUGUAUUAUGCUUCCUUUAGAUUAAAUUCCUGUGUCUGUAACUGUUGAUAUCUAUCCUUUGUUACUAUAUCCUUACAAAAUCUUUCAUUCUCCUGUAUUUUUAACUAUUUGUUAGCACCGUCAUUAAUAAAAUAAUAAACACGAUACUUUUUAUGUUGAUAUUUUACAAUUCUAAAAAUAAUCAUACAAUCAUGGCCCUAUAUUUUAUUGUUUAGCCUGAUACAUAUAUUUAUUAUUUUGUGAUAUAGCCCUUUCAACUUUACUAAUUUUGCUUUUGUAUUAUGCUCGCGGUUGAGUAAAUUAUUGAGGGACCCGAUUAUAAUUGAGUAUCCUACAGCUUUGUCCGACUGUUUUGACAAAAGAGGGAAAAAAGAAAAAGGUGGGGGGGGGGGGGGGGCGAGAGAAAGAGAGAGAAAUUUAUAUAAUUUUGUCUUGAAGGGAUUGGUCUUCAAAAGUUAGGAAAAUUUACGAAAAUAGUUAUAAAUAUUUGGUUAUUUUCACAACUAACCCUCUCAAUUUUUUUCUUUCAACAUUAGCCAAACACAAGCCUUUCUCCCCAAAUUACCCUUCUUUACAGACCAAAAGCAACAAUCUUUCUCCCAUAUCGUCAAACCAAACACAGCUUAAUCAUCAACCAACAUCGACGGCAAAAGACAACAGUAAAGGUGAAAUCCAAUCAUAAUCUAUCUGAAUCCAACACUAAUCGGCAUCACUUAGUGGUAUGAGUUAUUUUCUGAACUUACUGAACUGAGUCGUGGGUGAAUCUGGCGACAGGGUGCCUGUCGCACCAACUCUUCGGGCGACAGGCACCCUGUCGCACCAAGCCUUGGAGAUUCAUUAAAAUUGUAUUAAUUUGAUCCGGAUCCAAUUAAUUUUUUUUUAAUAAUUUCAGGCUUAAUGGAUUCAGUUGUACUUGAAUUGUGUUACGAUGGUUGGUGGGAGACAUUAGAGGAUGGCCGUAUGGAGUAUAUGAAUGGUAAAAAUCGAGCUUUUUUGGUUGGGAAAAAUUAUCUGUUUGAUCAGUUAUUGGCAAGAGUAUACGAGGUGUUACAAAUAAACCCUAAUGAAUAUAGUAUUACAAUGAAGACAACUUGAGGUCUAGUACACAUUAUAUCGUAUAUGUGCACUGCCCAUGGGACAGUGGCGAAGCUAGCAUCAUUUGGGUGGGUGGGCUAGAUUAAACCAAAAAAAUGAAAUUUACUUCUCAAAAAAUUUGUUUUAUAUAAAUGAAAUUAAGCACACUACAUAAGUAAAAAUGUAACCAUAAAACUAUAAAAAUACAAUGUAAAUAAGAAAAACACUAUUGACGAAGCUGUGUCCUGCGGUUCUUCAAAAAAGAAAAUUCAUCUGCUAUCGCAUCUGAGUCAAUAUUGUCUUCAAUUUCUCUUUCAAUGUAAAUAACCAUACAAUCUGAAAGAAACUCAUUCUCCAUCUUGUUUCGAUGUGUUGUCUUAAUCAGUUUCAUGGCAGAAAAUGCUCUCUCUGUUGUUGCUGUUGAAACAGGAAGGGUUAACACUAAACGAAUUAAUCUAUCCAACAAGAAAUAAAUCUGUGACUUUCUAGUCUCAACCAAUCUUCGACACAAUUCAGAAAGGGAAGUAAUAUUCUGAAACUCUUGAAGAGAGUGUAUAUCUAUCUCAAAGCACUCUAAUUGUCUUCUCAAAGCCUGUAACUCAAUCUUAGUGAAAUCUUCAGGAUAAAAUCUUUCAGCAAGGCUGCAAAUAUCUUCAAUUUUAAAUGAUUUAAAUGCAUCAAUAGGAUUUAAAGCUGAACUAAGAGUGAGGAGUUCCAAAGUCUGUUCAGUGAAUCUAUUAUUCAACUCCAUCAAUUGAAAAUCUAUCACAGUAUUAAAUAUAUCAUAAUGAUAAUAAUGCUCAACUGUAAUAUAAUCAUUCUGCUGACAAGAACGUCCUCUCCCUUUCAUAUGGCGAGCUUUCAUAUCAGGCAUAUCUAUCUCAUUCUUUUCACAAAAUAGAACUACAUUCUAAAUAAAAGUUUCCCAACCAUUGUCUCGCAUCCUUUGAAGAAGUUUUUUCGUAGUUGAGACUAAGUGCACAGCAUUUAGAAUAUCUUGAGAUUUAACUUGUAAUGCUUGACAAAGUAAAUCACUCAUCCCCAAAACUUUAUUUAAUAAAUGCAAAAUGAACACAAAUUUAAAAGAUAUCAUUGAUUCACACGCACCUUUAGCCUCUCCACGUAUGUUAUUGUUACGCCCACACUCUACCAACUUCCCAAAAACUUUACGAACAACACUAAACAAAUCAAGCAACCUACUGACAGAACGGAAAUGAGAGCUCCAUCGAGUAGCUCCAGGCCGUUGCAAAGUAUGAAUUUGAUUGGCCCCUGUACCAGUUUGAACUUCUCCUGAAGCUAUCAAAUCUAUUAUUUCUGCUUCCCAAACAGAUUUUAACUCAGAAAGCCGUUUAGCAGAUGAAGUCAGAACAUUUACAAUUGAACCCAAUGCUGAAAAGAAAAGCCAUACAUCUGGCACAUCAUUAGAUGCUGCAACUAAAGCAAGUUGUAGUUGAUGUGCAAAACAGUGUAUAUAAUAUGCAUAUGGGCAAUCUUUCAAAAAUAAUGCUUGCAAUCCAUUCCAUGCACCUCGCAUGUUACUAGCACCAUCAUACCCUUGCCCUCGGAUAUUUUCAACUAAAAGAUCAUAUCGUGCAAGAACAUUACAUAUUUCUUUUUUCAAUGUUACUGCUAUAGUUUCCAUGACAUUGACAACUUCAAAAAAACGUUCUCGAAUAUACCCAUCACAAUCAACAUACCUUAAAAUAAUAGCCAUUUGCUCUUUAUCAGAUUCAUCAAGUGCUUCGUCUACUAAAAUACAAAACUUACCAUCUCCAAGUUCCCUGCGUAUCUUGUUUCGCACUUUGUUUGCAAGAAUAUUUAAAAGCUCUUUUUGAAUGUCAGACGAUGUAUACUUAGCAUAUGAUGGAGCAUUUUCCAAGACAACUUGAGCAAUUUCUUUACUACACUUCGCUGAAUGCUUUAUCAACUCUAUGAAAUUUCCCCGAUUUCUUGAAUUAACUGAUUCAUCAUGACCUCUAAAAGCACAUGCUUGCUUUGAAGUCUUCAAUCGUAACCUAUUCUCCAAAAGUUAUUGUGAAGUUUGGGCAUUAAUUAAUCUAUCAAUGUGUUGAAUUAGAUUCCUCAAACAACCCCAACUCUGCAUAUUCUUAUUAUGAUGAGAAGAUGGACCCCUUUAAUGCUGUAAAAAAGGACAUUUUUUCCAUUGUUGACUCUCUUCCAACUAGAAAACCCUUCGAUAACAAAUUUUGGGUUAUUUGAUGGAAUUUCAUAAAAAAGAAAGCAUGGAAAACAAAAUGCACUAUCUUUUACCUCAGAGUACUCAAGCCAUGGAAAUUUUUUAAACCAGUGAUACUGAAACCUACGUUCUUGCAUGCCAUCAUUAGUUAGUGGAUAGUCUCGUAGUUUAGGUUGAUAAGGUCCCAUUUUGAUGUACUCCCUUCGAAUAUCAUCACGUUGAUUUACUGAAUAUGUCCCUAUUUGAUGACGUAAUCCAGGAUCACGCUCCAGAUAAGUAUUUCUAGUUUCUUCAACUUCAACCCUUUGAAACUUAGAAGCAUGUUGCUCACUGGAAUCUUGAGCAUUAACUUGACAUGGAGAUAAAGACUUAGUGGAUGAUUGAUUUUCACUUACUCUCUUAAAAAAAGAAAGUAGAGUUUUUCUUGGUUUAUUUAUCAUUGAAUCUGUAAUAAAAUCAUUAAAAUUUUAGUAUUUAUUUUAUAAAAAAUUGACCAAAACGUAAGUUAAAAGCUAAUUAAAAAAAGUCAGCAUUCAAAUUAAUUAUUUUACUAUUUUGAUCACUCAUUCUUUCAUGCCAUCAUUAUUUUAUAAUCCCAAGAAGAUGAAUCAUCACCUUUUACAAGUUCCACUUUAUAUGCUAUCAUCAUUAUUUGUCAUAUUCUAUUAUUUUAUAAUUUUAGAAAGAUGAGUCACAGUUCUCAGUUCACAAAAUCGACAACUUCUCUUCCACAAUUCCACUUUGUGUGCCAACCAUCAUUAUCAUAAAAUCAUAUUCUAUUAUGUAAACUAAAGUUUAAAAGACAAAGUGCUUUGUACCAGUGGCCGCAUCAAGAGACUGGGCAUUUGGCGUUGGCUCGGCGGUGAGAGAUUCAGCCUGCAGGUGUGAGUCUUGCGACAGUGGCUCGAUGUCACUCAUGAGGCAGUGGCCGAGCGUCAAUUCGAGCGCAGGAGACUGGUAUUCAGCAGCAGUAAGAGACUUGAGCAAUUGAAUUUUGGUGAAUUUCAAAUUUGUAUUUGGUUAGAUACUAGUGAGUUUUAUGAAUUGUGAUUUGAGGAAAAUAAGGAUUCCUAUAAUUAUUAGGUUUGUUUUUUUUUUAUAAAUAUUAAUAAAAAUAAAUUUAUAAAUUAUAAAUUUUUUUUUUCAAAAAGCUUACCCGGGCUGCAGCCCGGGUUAGCCUUCCCUGAGCUUCGCCUCUGUCCAUGGAUAUAUUUGAUGAUGAAAUGGUGAGGGUUGUGUUGCAUAUGGCAUCCGACGUAGCCAAUUUUGGAUGCAUUCCUAUAUUCGUGACCACGUCACCUCGAGUUCCGAGCGAAGGUAUUGAGCCACAUGUCGAUACAGAAACUUCAUUUAGAGCAAAUAUGUCUGGCCCCGAUAAUGAUGAAGAGGUGUUGCCAAGGAUAAUAUCGCUGCAGCAAUAUUACUCUCCAAUCCACGACAAUUAUGACAACAUUGAUGAUAACGGCGUUACGUUAGAGGAUGUUGGAGCAAUGGUAUUCUCCGUAUCACAACAAUGAUUUUCGGGACAAUGAUGAUUUUCAUCAUGAGACAGAGGGGGAUAAUGUUUGUGCAAAAGCUUCUAAUAAUACGAGGGGCACUCAUUUCAAUAAUGAUGGUGAUGAUGGAGGAGCCAGUCCUUCGAAUGUUUCGUCGUUUCAGCAUAACGAUGAGUGUGAAGACAAUACUCUUGUGAAUAACAGAGGCAAUAGACCCAGUCCUUCUAUGGUGCGAUCGAGAAGGCGAAUUGACCCCCUUACAAGUCUUGCUCCAACUUUGCCUUCGAACAUGGUUACUCCAAGCUUUGUUAGCAGUUGUGAUUCAUAUGAUAUCAGUGUGGGUAAGCUAUUUGCUGAGAAGAAUGAGUUUAUAUUACAAUUACGCAAGGUUGCCUUUAGAGAUAAGUUUGAUUUCAAUAUUGCACGGUCUACUACGACACGUUUCAAGGCUCACUGUUGUUCAGAAUGAUGUAAAUGGCGUAUUCGAGCAACUAGAUGUUCGAAGCGAGAGAAGUUCCUUGGGUGGUGAAGAGAAUUGACAAUGUACACACUUGUCAUAAUGAGGUAUUGGUUGAUGGACGUCAUCAAUUAAGGAGCCAGGUUGUCGGUCAUAUUAUCACAGAAAAAUAUAUUCAAGAGAAGAUGAUUUAUACUCCGAAUCACAUAAAAGCAGAUAUGCAACAGGAAUACGGUGUUCAGUUAACAUACCAACAGGCAUAUCGGGCGAGAGAAGUUCCUUGGGUGGUGAAGAGAAUUGACAAUGUACACACUUGUCAUAAUGAGGUAUUGGUUGAUGGACGUCAUCAAUUAAGGAGCCAGGUUGUCGGUCAUAUUAUCGCAGAAAAAUAUAUUCAAGAGAUUGUAGCACUCGGAUCUUCCAUCAAGGGUUUUAUGCAGUACAUUCGGCAUGUCAUUGCUGUAGAUGGUACUCAUCUGAAGGGACUAUAUCGUGGAAGCAUGUUCGUGGCAACAUGUCUUGAUGGUAACAAUCAAUUUUAUCCGUUAGCCAUUGGGAUCAUGGAUUCAGAAAACAAUGAUGCUUUGGAAUGGUUUAUGAUGAAGUUACACGGAGUGAUUGGCGAUAGACCUGAGUUGGUAAUUAUCUCUGAUCGAUGCACUGCCAUAAGGAGAGCCGUUCUUAAAGUAUUUCACAAUGCAACUGAUGGCGUUUGUUUUUACCACGUCAAAGGUAACAUUAAGUCUCAAUUUAGAAUGUCCAAAGCUCUUUAGGAUCAAUUUGAGCCUGCCUUUAUUAAUGCAGCAAAAGCAUAUGGCCACGAGGAAUUUAAGAGACAACUUGAAGGGUUGUGGAUGAUCCACUCGGGUGCGGCUGAUUACCUAGAAAAUAAUGUCGGUACGUGCAAUUGGGCAAGGUCUCAGUUUGAAGGUAGGAGGUACAGCAUAUUUACCACCAACAUCGCGGAGAGUGUUAAUUCUUUCAUGCGGGAACCUCAAAAAUUUCCUGUUACUCAUCUUGUUGAUCACUUUAGGAAAACAAUGCAGCAAUGGUUCUAUGAUAGAAAAAUUGUGGCUGAAUCAAUGACUACUCGGCUAACAACAUGGGCGGAUGAAAUAGUUACCGAGAGGAGAACUAUAGCUGAAAGAAUGAUAGUUCAGCCGGUGUCUCUGCAUCGAUUUCAAGUGAUAGGCGGUGGGCUUAAGGAAGGUUUGGUUGACUUGCAACAGAGAACUUGCACAUGCAGAGUGUUUCAGCUUGAUCAUCUUGUAUGUGCUCAUGCAAUUGCGGCGUGUCUAACACACCGGGUGGAUUUUAUUAACCUAUGCUCGGACUUUUACACUACAGAAUCGUUGGUGAUGGCGUAUGCACAACCAGUAGAGCCAGUUGGUGAUGUGGUUGAUUGGGAAAUUCUAGAUGAAAUUCAGGAGAUGCAAGUAUACCCACUAGUUGAGGCACCACCACCUGGCCGUCGUAAAGAGCUCAGAAUACCCUCGGCUGGCGAGGACGUUAACAGGCGGACUGUAAGAUGCGGGCAGUGUCAUGAACUGUGCCAUAAUCGUAAGCGAUGUAAGAAUCUCAUUACGUCGACUCGAAGUUAGUUGUUAUUGUGUUUUGUGUAUUGUACACUUAUAUUUCAUAAAACUUUAUUUGAUUUUAAAUAUUAAAAUGUGAGCAUUAAAAUUAUAUAAACUUAAGUGCGCAAAUUUUAAAAAAAACAAGUUUAAACAUUCAAAUUACUACAACGGUUUACAAUACAAUAUCGUCAUUAAAUAUGUCAACCGCAAUCUUCUUUCUAAAGUACUCGACAUGACUAGCGUUAAACUCCAAUCCAAGCCCGAACAUUAAAUACAUCGUAACCAUCAAUACAAAAACACCGCAAUCGCCAGUUCCGGGCUCCUGUUGUGGCGCGCUCCUAACUGCGAUAACUUUCCAGGGGUCGGCACUCCGCAACUCAGGUCGGAUGUUGUAGAACCCAACAUAUUCCAACCAUCGAGGGAAGAUAACUUCAAGUGGCUUGAAUUUCAACCUGUAUCUUUUGUCGUCGCGGCAUGUGAGUAAUGAGUCAUAAAUCCAGACUUUGUUUUUCCGAAAGUCUACUCGUGCCAGUACCCAAUGCUCGCCGUCCAAGUUAACAGGGAUGAGUAACUGUAUAUAAAAAUUCAAAAACAUGUUCGUUAUAUAUGAAAUUGAAAAACAACUAAGAAAAAUCGACAACUUGUAUAUAAAAUGCAAUAAAAUACAUACCAUAUCGACAUCCAUCAUUGAUUUGGACAUUGUGUGCUGUCGCCCACAAAGAUAACUAUUCACGCGGUUGUCGAAUACUAAUGAAUCGACCGCACAAUCCCCGUUGUUCCAUAACUGAUUCAAGAACACCUAGUACAUAGAUAACCAAGAAAUGCAUAAAUUAACAAAACUUAAAGGCAAUAAUUAAAAAAAUUAAAUAGUAUUUAUAAGUUUUGUCGGCACGUUACCCAAAAAAAUGUGUCAGUAUGUGUGACACGUUGGAGUAAGGCAUUUGGAUACUGCAGUUGUUUCUCGUUAAUCAAGCGGAGAUACUCGUGAAUAUGCUGUUGAGAAACAGAAAUAUAACGAUUAAAAAGAAAAAUUUUGGUGAAACAAAGCCACAACAGUAUACAUAACUUCGAAAAUAAAAAUACCUCAUCGCCUAGCCAUCCCAUCGAAGCUGUACCCAAAAUUAUUUCAAAGAAUGACCGCGGGUGCUGGACUCUCCGGCGGACUCUGCUAUCACCAGUGAACCAUCGAUCAAACUCAGCAAAUAGACUAGAGUCCUCUAAUCCUCUAAGUGGAUUUACAUCCACACUCGUACUCAUGUCAAUCGCAUGCUCCAUGAUUUGGGGUCGAGGUAAAGGCCGGACGUGCUGUCCUCGCCUGACCGGAGGAAUCAUGUAAGGACUGUUAUAAACAUACGACGGUAUGUACGCGCGGCCGAACUUACUAACGCUCGGAGGCACCUCAGUGAACACCUACACGCUCUCCCCACUAACAUCCCCGUAGAAACUAUACAAUGACGUGGGCGUAGACAAAUUUUCAUUGCCCACGUCAGUAUACACUCCAUAGUCAUCCAGGGCCUGUCCAUUCGCCAAGAAGAACAUAUUAAACAACUAUUAAAUUAAAAGUUAAACGAACAUAAUUAUUAAAUUUAAAUUUGCUCACUGCAUACGAGCGUGCAGGGGGAGAAUCCUUAUUUGGACGUUUAGAAAAUGUUUCGAUGAAGCGAACAAUGGUUUCUUUAAAAUCUUUUAAUUCUGACUUUAUUUCAUACACGUUACGAUCAAUCUUAUCCAGCCGUCGUUGUAUGUAAUCAUUAAACUGCUUUGUCCUCGACUAUUACAAAAGAAAAAAAUAAAACUUUAGAAUAAUAAUAAAAAAUUAAUAAUUUAUAAAGGAAAAAUAUCGUAUAUUAUUUAUAACCUCAGAAUCCCGUGCGUCAUCAGAGUUUUCUGUUUGAUGCUGGUGGUCAUCAACAUUAUUUAUAACCUCAGAAUCCCGUGCGUCAUCAGAGUUUUCUGUUUGAUGCUGGUGGUCAUCAACAGCCACCUCAUUGCCUUGUAACCGACGACAUCGCGUUGAUUGAGGAUUGGUGCUGUAUAAAGUAUCAUUUAAAAUUAGUAAAUGAAAAGUCAAAUAUUUCGAUUAAAAAAUUUUUAGUACUUAGAGUAUACCAACCUUAUGAACCCAGUCUGGAAUGCAUUUCGAUUAAAAAAUUUUUAGUACUUAGAGUAUACCAACCUUAAGAACCCAGCCUGGAAUGCUUGGCAAGUAAUCCUUCACAGAGACCCAAUAAUUUCUGCUACUCUCCUUUGAAUUUGGCUCAAGAGUUUGUAAAACGUCCCCCUGCAAUAAAUUAAAUUGAAAAUUUUAACAUAACUUAAAUUUAGUAAAGUUAAAAAAAAUAAGUAAUACAUAUUACUUACAAGACGAGAUUUGUCGUUGAAGAACGAAUAAACCUCCGCAAAGUUGAUUCUCGAAGACGCCAUGGGCUUCCAUUGCAGAAUGCGGGGAAUCUUAUUCUUCGUUUUGACGACCCAUGUUGAUGACAACCCUCCGAUUGCUUCGUAAAUCCAAGCCCUACAACAACAAAAGUGAAAAAUCAAAUAAAACAACUAUCAAAUAUUUAAUACUAUAAAACUUAUUAAUAUCGCAGGAAAAAAAAUGCACCUGAACCCCAGACGUAAAGCCGUAAAGAUUGUAUUUUUCAAUAUUAUGAUCUGGAUUUUUCAACCGAGUCUUUUUAAAUUUCUUGUCUUUCUCGAACAGUGCAUUGUCAAGACUCUCGUAAAUCAUUUCCCACGACAAUAGACCCUAUGGACGCUUUCGGAAGUACUGUAUAUCAUCAACUUGGUCAAGCCAAUCGAAAUUGACUUGACAAUGAUUUUUUCUUGCAUUUAGUACUCUGUCCGCAAAAUAAAACAGCGCAAUCUUUAAUGCGUCCAUAUCGUCCAUUUCCUCGAAUUUCAACUCCUUAAAUACUGCAUCAAAUUGCUUCACAUUAAUCUUACGAUGCACACCACCAAAAUACGUAUUCUGUAGCCUCUGCUCCAUUUCAUCAUUUUUUUGAUUGGUAUCAACACCAAAUGAAAAUCCAGUAACCAAGCACCAUUCGACAAUUGACAAGCGAAUCAAAUGCUUACCAAUUUGAAACCAUAACUGAUCUUCACGACUAUCUUCUUCAUGGGCCACUUGCCGCAGUAAAAGAUUGUGCAAAAUCACCCCACUAAAUGGAAAACUUCGACACUCCAAGAAAUGCCCAAAUAUAUCCUUUUUGAACAUGAAUAACUACUGCUUCGUUAAUUUUUCCUCGAUGGCUUUUACGACCGAAGAUAACAUACACAUGCUCGAAAUUCGACCAGGAAAGUGAUCGGCAUAACGAAAAUACAUCUUGCCUACUUCGAUAUCCGGUGAUUCUGAUUUUGCCAUGUAUCUGUAAUAUUUAUAAAAUUAUUACAUUACAUUUACGGAAAAAAAAAUUGACUCGUAAAAAAAAAAUACUAAUUUUUGGUGCGACAGGCAAGCCUGUUGCUCCAAAAAAAUAUUGCGACAGGGCCUGUUGCUCCAAAAAAAUGUUGCGACAGGGCCUGUCGCACCAAAACAUUGGUGCUACAGCAAGCCUCUCGCACCAAUGGGCCGCGCAUGGCCGCACGCUGCUGCCCAACGAUGGGCGCGCGCGCGCGCCCUGCCCUGCCCCUCUCUCUCCCCACCCCCAAAAUUAAGCACAAUCACUCCAAAAUCGAAAACAAUACUCCCAAACACCACCAACCACCACAAACAUCAUCACCACCACUAUUAUUCUCAAGCUAUAACUAUUAUUAUUCUAAAAUCUCAUUUUAAAUUAAUGAAAAUUAGAAAAAUGACUAACCUAGGUUUUGUUGAAGGUUGUAGAUCGUAGAUCGUAGAUCGGAUGCCGGUGAGAGAUGGAGCCGCCGUCGACGAGGGUUGAUGUCGCCGCCGAUGAUGGGAGUUGGAUCGGUUUGGGAGAGAUGAGUGAAAGGGAGUGUUGGGGGAGAGAUGAGGGAGGGGUAUUUUUGUCUCAAAGGUUGUUUAAUGGCUAAUGUUGAUAGAAAUAUUUGUGGGGGGUUAAAAUGAAAAAAAACAAAACUUUUUUGGUUAUUACUGUAAAUUUCCCCAAAAGUUAGCCAUAUAUAUAUAUAUAAUGUUUCGUAUCGAAACAGUAAACAAAUUAAUUAGAAAAGGGACACGGGCAUUAUACUUGGGCGACUAUAGGUAAGUAUUGAUUGAACCAAAAAAUUAUGACGCAAAAUGAUACGCUAACUAUCUAAACGAAAUUGACUGAGUGAUUUUGAUUGAUACAUUAAUAAAUGAAGGUAAUAAGAAAUCAGUUUCAGUCAUCCUUUCGUCUCGGGACAAGUACAUACACAAAUAGCCACUCUAGCUUCCAAAUGGAUUGAUUGGCACAAACAUGUAAAUGUCAAUUAAAGAUGGAGCAUUACAAAAAGAUAUACAAUUUGAGACAAAUUUGGAAUACCUUGUCAGCAAUAGAAUGCUUGUUACUGUUUAGAAAUUACUCGUCGGUUAUAAAUUCUUUGUUGAAUUAUUACGAUAUGUAUCUCUUCGUCAAUUGUAUGAAAAGAGAGAAUACACAUGCACACACAAAAUAUAAAUAUGGUAAGAAUCAAACAAACGGAAGUUAAGGUGGUAUUCAGUUCACAAAAAUGAGUGGAGAAAAUAUGGGAAGAAAAGAGAAGAAAGAAGAGAAAAUGACAGGAGAAUUCAAUUUAUGUUGUCUGAUUUUUUAAAAAAAAUUCCAAGAGAGAAAAGAAAUUAAAUAUUUUUGUUUUCGAUGCUUUUAAUGUUUAAUUUUAAACUUUUCAAGAUUUAACUAAAUAAAUUUAUUUUGUUUUGUUUUU